rnacentral:lncRNA from 1 species
UGGCUGUAAACAAAUUGAGCUAGCAAAGUAUUCCUUAGAAGCCAAGGCUAACUCAUGUCAGACAGAAAACAUAGAAUCCCACAUCGAAGUAACGCGAAGAAGAGGCAUUAGACAUUAGUAAUAAAUAACAAGCACGAAGGCCUCACCAACAUACUUACCUGGACGGGGUCAAUGGGUGAUCAGAAAGGCCCAUGGCCUAGAGUAGUGACCUCCAUUGCACUUAGGAGGGGUGCUGCUCUAAGGUCUCCCCAAGUUGGGAGAGCCUACGUCAUAAUUUGUGAUAGAGGGGGCCUGCGUUCGCGCGGCCCCUACUAAUCUCUAAUCCAAGUGUUUCGUAUCGGUUUGGGCCGUUUGUAUAAAUGUUAGGUAUUUCUCAGUUGGGACGCACUACCAUUAUCUCAAAUCAAAUAUUGUGGUUGUUCUUGGGUCGAGACUCUGGCCCAUCCUCUUCGAAGUAUAUGUAUUAAUAUUGGAAUUUGCUAACUAAAUAUAAAUUAAUAUUAAGGCAGUUCAUGCUAUAUAGUCAAGAUAUUCAACAUUGAUCUUUGGUUAUAAAAAAAUAGCUUUUCUCUUUGAUUAUUUUUGGGCGGAGAAAGUGCCUCAGGAUGUGGCCUAGGGAAAGCCACGCAUGGCUGUAAUUGACAUUAAAAAACAAAUGAAUGAUAUAAUUAUCUAUAAUCAGCAUUUCUAAUAUAUGGGAUUAGAACUGAAACAUUUAAAAUUUGGAUCUUCUGAGUAUUUAAAAGAAGGAAAUGAAAGAAUAAGAAGACUGUUCGAGUUUUUAUUGCACUUCACUUAAAAACAUGAACCAAAUUUAGCAUCAUUGGCAACCAAGUUCCGCAUACACAGUGACCCUGUAUUCAGGUUACUGGUGACAACAAAUAUUGAUCAUAAACUAACUUUUACAAUUCAGAAUCCAACAACACAGAUUCAGAAAAUCGACCUCUUUGUACCAAGUCUAUUGAUUCUUCUUCAGCGUAGAAGUAGCAGUUGAUGACUUAAGGUCUCGAUUAGAAGUUCUAAUGAUGAAAAGGAGAGUUUCUACGAGCAUUCCACACACUAUACCAAGAAUCCCUCCAGCAGCACUCUGAAUUACAUGGAAACACUGACGUCAAUAUCAGCUCAACCAGAAAACAGAAGAGGAAUCAGGAUAGAUAACUUUAUGUAUGCUCACAAGCAAAUGGAUGACUAAAGAAAGCCAAAUUAUUCAGAUGGAAAAUCUCCCUCUCUCUCUAAGCACAAAUGCGGCGUCCUCUUACCAUUGCAGGACUGUGGCCAAACAAUGCCCUGAAUGCUGCAUAUCCCACAAGAUAGCCAGUAAACAUGGUAAGUGCAACAUGUAAACCUGUGGAAGUUACAGAAGGCCAUAACUUUCAGAACAAGAAGACAGAUGUAAUAUGCAAAAUUUCCACAUAGGGGUUAAGAAUGCCCCCUGAGUCGCGACAAUACAUAAAAUGGAAAUGUCAGGCCAAACGAUUAAAAAAAAAUCUGAACUAAAAGUUUUAGCCUAUCCUUUUAAGGCAUGUUAAUUGUCCAGUUUGUCACAAUGACAUAAUCGAUCAAAUAUAAUUUCAUUAAUGGAAUAAGCUUUAAUAACUAACAGAAUCCAGACCUUUGAAUAGCUAUUCAAUUUGAUCAUGGAUUUAAAUCAAAGUUGGGAAUGUAUUAAUGGUUAUGAUCACAUGUAUAGAAAAAGAGCUAUCUCAAGUCACAACCAUAACAUAAUUGUAAUGGCACUAUCGAUAUCAAAUCUUUAAAUUUUGUAAAAUACAGUAAACGAAUUUAACCAUCUAAGCUAAAAAAAUAAAAUAAUUAAAGAGCAUAAUUAAGUAAAGAAAGAUUUUAAAUCUUUGAUUGAACAAUUUUAACUCAAGUACCUAACAUGAAACAAAAUAAGACUAAAGAUCUAAUCUUAUCACUAACAAGUAAAAAAGGAAAACUAUUAAAAUAAUGUAAAGAAGACUCUAGUCUUUUUUCAAGGAGACAUGCAAUGCCGAAGGAAAACAAAGUAGUUGCAUAGGUGAAGCAGGAGUUGAAGCACAGGAGAGACUGCUGAAACUGGAGUUGUGAUCGGAAAAAAGUUCAUUCCACAUGGUUCCUUGCUCAAUUUUACACUUGCUGUUUUUGUCUUUUUUACUGAUGCUUUGGAAGAUAGAUUCAAUAAUUACACUCAUAACUUGGGAUUUGAAGUAUGAAGCCAACCAUAAAUUUCAACUGGAUUUAACAUUUUUUGCAUUCUAAAACUUUUUCCAGACUCUAUUCAGUCACGUUCUUGAAAUACCCUCUCUAAUAUCCAACAAUUGUGCAUCACGCAGCUAUCCAACUAAUGAAUUAUGACUAUUGUAAUAUAUACCACCAUAACCUAAGAAUCUAUGUGAGACAAUGCAAAAAAUAAUGAUAUCCAGUACAUAUGUAUGGGCAACGACCGCAUGUUCAAUUUUAUUUUUUUUUAAAAAAAAAAAUAAAACAUAUUCUAUGUUCUAAUGAAUUCCAAAUGUUGUUAGUAACGAGCAAUCCAUGCUGAGUAGAGCAAUAUCAUAUUGUAAAAGGAAUUUCAGAUAUAAGUUUGCAAGUAGACUGAUAGUUACCAAAACCAAGCUGAUCCUUGUAAGAGGAGAAAGGCUCAUUCUCAACCUUCCUAGGCGUUAUAUCCUUAACAAGCUCUAGAUAUGCAUUCUUCUCAGCCAAUUCUUGGAGUUUCCUCAGUCUUGCCUUUAAUUCUUCACUCUAUGCCAAUCCCCAAACAACAGAACACAUUUCAGUUGUUAUUGUCGAUAAAAUUUCAUCGAUUUAACUAAAAUUACAUGAUUUUUUUUUCAAUUUCAUUUGCUGUUUUAAACGCAUACAUAUAUUAUAGCUCUCCAUACAAAUACGUUCAAAGGAGUAAUCACGCUCUGCUUAGUAAUGAAUAAAAUAAACACAGCUGAACGCGGAAUACACAUAACUUCUCGAUUUUCCUAUUUCCCAGGAACCAACAGAAAAUUGAGAGAGAGAGAGAGAGAGAGAGAGAGUAACCAGGCUUACCUUUUCUCUAGGUUUAGGACUGGUGAAGAUGAAUUCGGAUCCAGAGAAGAGGCUGAUCAAUUGAGGUCGGGUAGAAGGGUCGGAUGCGAUCCAUAUGCUCCGAAGAGAACCAUAGUGUAUAUGAUUUUGAGAGAUAAGAUUGGAAGCAAGGUCUCGUAGUUGAUGAGAAAGGCGUGGCUCUUUGGAGGCUGAGAGAAGAAAGGAGCGAAUGGAUUCAGUGGGCAAUACAGCCAAUCCAGGUGAGUUUGGUGGGAGGGUUUCGUUGCUCAUUUCUCAUCUACUGGUUUUGUGCCAGCGACAUGGAACCAAGGAGACUUCGUCUUCAAUAACACCUUCUGUUUUUCAUUUUAAGCUCAAAUCGACUAAUUUUUUGGGGAAAAAAAAACUUAAAUAAAAUAAUAUUUUCUUCCAUUUUUAAUAGUAAAAUAUUAAUUUAUAUAUUUAAAUCAAUGAUCAAAGUAUAAUUUUUUUAAAAAAAAAUCCCCAAAAAGGGAAGAAUAAGAACAGAAAUUCAGAACUCAGGAACACAAUUUCAGAAUUUAUUACAUAUAAAAAUCAUAAAUUCAAAAACACAAAGCAAUAAAAUCAAAAACAAAAUUUUAUAGAUGGAUGACUAUACUUAAGGCAUCUACGAAAUUAUAGGUGUAUAAUUUUACUUUUAUUAUAUAUAUAUAAAUCUCGAUAACCUUGCUCUGAUGGUUGAAUUUUUUACUAAAAGGUUAUUGGAUUGGAUGCUAGUUCUGAUAGCUUGCCAUGCUCCUUCCAUGUCUUUUAUAUAUCGCCUGACCUGAAUAUCCUUUAUUCCUGAGAUGGACUGCGCCAGUGUGGCUCCUUUGGUCUUCCCCCACCAAGUAUGAGGUUUUUUCCUUAAUCGUUGUUAAUCAAUGCAUAAUUAAGAAUAUCCCUACACAGCCAAAUUCAUUAGUCAAUAAAUCUAAAUUGCACAUAAUGGGUGAUAGGACUGUGAUACUUAGACUCAUGUUCUAAAGAUUUUAAGGAGUAAAUGAAUUUGGUCCAGUUACGAGGGUCAUAAAUGGGAGAAUAAUGGAGAUGGGAGCUGGGUGAUAUAUAUCAUAGAGAUUAAAGUUUUUAGAUUACAAAUAAGUAAAGGGUAUUCUUAAAAGAUAAAGAAGAUGAUAUUUUUUUAAGGGUUAAUAGGGUAUAUAUAUUUUCAUACAUAUAUUAUAAGCAUGUAAAAUAUUUAUUGAUUACAUUUUUUAUAGAUUUUUCAGAUCAUUUAUUUAUGACAGACAUAUACUCAUUUAAUAUUUAGUUAAUUAAGACCACACUUUCUUACACAUAUUUUAUAUUAAGAUUAUUAUAACACGCAUAUUUAAAAUUUUAUAAAUUGAAAAUUAUAUUUCAUAAAUUCUAAAAAAAGGCCGAAUGAAUAAUAGAUCAUACUCUAUUUGAGGACAUUCAAUUAAUCUCAAUCAGAUUAUGGAUUCUUGAUUUAAUGUGAUUAAUAGAGUUCGGAUCAAACAUUUUUAAGAUACAGUAAAACUUGUGCAUUAUAUGCUAUCAGCAUAUAAAUCAGACAAUUAGCUUUAUAUUAUUAAACAAUAUAAAUAGAUAUAAAUCAUCAUUCAAAAUAUAAAAUUAUAAAAAUUUAAAACACUUCCUUUUAUGUCUAAACCUCUUAAAUCAUCAUUUUUGACUUGGAUUUUCACAAUAAUUGUCUAGAUAUCAAGCGCAUCAUUUUAUAUAUUUUACAAAGUGAAGUAUUAAGUAAAUCAUUCAACCUUUGUUAUCCGUUUUAAAUUUGUUUAAAAUUAAAAUGUUAAAUUUACUCUAAAUUAUAAAGUAAAUACAAAAAAUAUAUAAAAGGUGGUAAAAAAUUAAUAACUACCUUAUAUCUAAAAAAUAAUAAUAAUAACUAUAUUUAUUGAUAUGUCAAGAAACACAGUAUUACUAUAGCCUAAUCCCAAUUACAUGGUAAAAAAAUUGAAGUAGUCUUUACAUGGAUAUUAUUGCACGUGAGAUGUGAAAAAAAAAAAAUCAAAAGAAAUUUAUUUUAUUGUGAAAUCCAUUAUUAGGUCCGCCAUCUUUUGAAGAAGGGAAAAAAGAAAGGAGAAAGAUUCCAAUCCCAUUACGAGUGGAUGAUGUAUUUAGACUUGUUGACUUUUUACCAGAUUAAAAAAAUAAAAUGCUGACCAUUCCUAUCUCUCUUUGUUCAAUCUUUGAAAGUUGAAAAGGGCUAUGGCUGCAGUCAAAGCAUUGCCACUUCGCAUCAACACAGCAUCUUACUCUCUCUGUGUCUCCAUUCAUAUAUAAUGGAUAGAAACGAGAAAUAUAGUAUUCUCUUCUCUUAGCAGGUUUCAAUAGUUCUAGUUCUGUUAAGAAAUAUUUUAUUAUUAUUGGUCAAAAGCCUUGAUUUUCAUUUUAUUUUCCUAGCUUUUUCUCCAAGUUUUGCAAUUUCGUUGGUCACAUCUUCCAUCAGAAUAAUUUCUUCACUCUCCAGUUCUUGAUUUUUACCUGCAAUUUCAAAUCCUUUACUUUUGUAAUCUAAAACCCAGAAUCAUUUCUGACUGGAUUUGACAGAACCCAGUUGCCUUUAGAUUCUGAUCUCUUUAUCAAUCCUGGUUUUUGUUUGGGUAGUAUCCAUAGUAUAUGAUCUUUCUCAAACUUUGUUCGAUCUUCCAUUAGAGGGAGCUUUAGCUUUACCUCUGUACAAAAACAGAGUUUCUUAGGCAUACACAAGAUUUGGGGUGCUAAGGUAUCGACCGGAAAAAAGAAGGCCAUGGAUGGUUCACAAGGUAGUAGUACUUCAAAUGCACCGGCUCCUUUUCUGAUCAAAACAUAUGAAAUGGUAGAUGAUCCGUCGACUAACUCAGUGGUGUCUUGGAGCAGCAGUGGCUGCAGUUUUGUUGUGUGGAAUCCACCUGAAUUCGCCCAAGAUUUGCUUCCCAGUUACUUCAAGCACAACAAUUUCUCAAGUUUUGUCAGGCAGCUUAAUACUUAUGUAAGUUUCAAUCUUUCUGCAAAUAUGUUUUGUAGAAUUUACAAGGUUAUAUUGAAUUUUCCUUGCUGAAAAUUGACGAUUGUUUCUUGUUUGUUUCUGCUUGAGCAGGGAUUCAGGAAGAUUGAUCCUGAUCAAUGGGAGUUUGCUAAUGAAGAAUUUAAAAGAGGGCAGAGACAUCUGCUAAGCAAUAUUCGCCGACGAAAGCCAAUUCAUAGCCAUUCGAUGCAGAAUCAAGUUAACUCUCCGCUGACAAAAACAGAGAAAAUUGAAUACGAGGAGAAAAUUAAGCAAUUGACAAAAGAUAAGAACUUGCUUCAGCUGCAGCUACAGAGACAUGAAACAGAGAAGCAGGCCUUUGAGUGUCAAAUUAUGCCAUUAGGUGAAAGAUUGAAGCGUUUGGAGAGCAGACAGAAUCAAUUAGUUUCUUUCUUGGCUCAACUUGCAAAGAAACCAGGAUUUGCCUCUAUUCUCAUGCGGCAACCAGAAUACAAUAACAAGAAGAGGAGAUUGCUUGAACUUGAUCACUUAAAUGGCGACUACUACUCGGAAGAGAAGCACAGUUCGCGUUCUUCAAAAGAUUCAACGAUGAAUUUUGAGUUAGUUAAGAAGUUGGAUUCAUCCAUAAAGUGCAUUGAAGAUUUGUUUUAUGGAGCAGGAGAAGCUUUUACUCAAGAUAUGCAUGAUUUCGCCUUAGCAUCACAGCCUUCAGCUAUUGUCGUUAGAGAGCUAAGCACGUCUUCCAUAGAUGGAGAAGCUUGCUCUUCACUGCAUUCUAUGGAGGAUAUUCCUUCAUCUCCUGAGCUACCUCAAUGCAUCAAUCAUGUGAACAGCCCAAAAAUUCAUCCUGAAUUUCCUGUGUUUAAAGCUGUAAAAGAAUCAGAAUUAGAGACAAAAGAUUCAUCUACUCCCACAGGGGCAAAUGAUAAUUUCUGGGAAUAUUUCCUUACUGAGGCUCCUGGUUCUUCAAGCACACAAGAUUUUGAACCUGGGUUCGAGCGAAGAACAAGUGAGGAGAGACUUCGGUGGAGUUUUAACACCAUGAACGAUCUUACCCAACACAUGAAGCACCUUGCACCGGCUGAAAGAGUAUGAGCUCAUUGGGGGUUGAUUCUUGCAACUCUGCUGCUAUUCUUCAUGUUUCUUGUAUACUAAGUUAAAGAUGUAGAAUUCUUCUACUGAUUGUAGAUUACAGAUAGACAAGUUUACUGCAUAUUGAUAGAUUCCGAUUAGUUCUGAUGUUAAGUUUUUGGUAAAUAUGAGAUUGAAACAAAUUUUAGAAGUUGGUAAUUUAAAAGGAAAAUAAAAAAAAAAUGUAGCCUUAACUCAUUUUCAUUUUAAGUAUUUGAAUCUUAAUUCAUAUUAAAAUAAUAUUUUAUAAUAUUUCACCGUUAGUAAAAAAUAAUAAAAUAAUCGUUGCCGUGUGAAUUUAAAAUUAUAAAUUAUAAUUAGAGUUAACAAAUUAAAAAUAUUCUAAAAUUGACACUAUAAUAAUUUUAUUAUAUAAUGAAUUUUGAAAGUUAGGGUUUAUAUUAUAGUGUUAUUAUUUUUUAUUAACUUUUUCUUUAUAAAAAAAUCUUUUUUUUGAAGAAUGUAUAAUUACAUCCUAAAUUAUGAAAAUUAAUAAAAUAUUUUCAGGUAGGAUCCGUUAAUGGAAGUGAGGAAGAUCGUUGAGAAUAUAAAGAUGGAUUAUGGAGCUCUCCAUAUGCCCGGAUGAAGCUAAAACAAGGAGAGGCGAUAUUUCUUUAGUUGGUAAUAAAGUUAAUUUUGUAAUUUAUAAAUUCUCUCUCAUUACCCCGAUACCUCUGUCAUUUAAUCUUGAAAUUAUUAAUUUUUCUUUGAAAUAAAAAAUAAAAAAUAAAAUUUAAUACCUCUCAGACUUAUUUAAAUUCUAUGUAUAAAAAAAUUUUUAUUUUUUCAUAUCAUCUAUUUUUUUAAAAUAAAAAAUUUUUCAUUAAAAAUAAUGAAUUUCUUUUUCAAAAAAAAUUAAUUUAAUUAAAUUUUAUAAAAUUAUUAAUUUCAAACGAAAUGAUUAAAAACUUUUACUUGUUAAUAUUUUUUAUUUUUAAAUAAAAAUAAAUAUAAAAAAUAAGUUAUUUUAUUAAAAAAUAAUUUUAAAUAGAAAUUAUUUCCAUAAUAAACGGGACUAAAACUUAGUAAUUUUUCGUUCAUAAAAUUCUUAAUUUUUUUUAAGAAGCAGCAAAUGAAUAAUUUCUCCCAUAUUACAAUGUAGGCGUGGGAGAUUUUCUUACCAAGAGGAAAAGAAAAACAAAAAAUCAGUCAAUAUUAAAAAUUGGGUGGAGUAGUAAUAAAUCAAAGAAGGAGAAAUAGCUUUCUUUAAAUCUACGCUUUUAACAGUGCCAUUGCCAUAAACCCCCCAACAAAAAUCAACUACCAACACUCCAUAUCUUAUUGUUUUUUGUUUUCAACAUCAGAUCUCGCAACGCAAGUCUCUUGCUAGAAAUUAUAUUGUAGGACACUUUUUCUUGGAUCUUUCGAUCUCUAUCUCACUCUUUUGAAUUUUAUCCACGCCAUUCUUCAGGUCAGUUUAAUGCCUAUAAUUUCUUUCCUAUUCUUUCGAUUUUUAGCUGUUGAUUUAAUUCUAUCCGUUUGGUGUCUGAAAAAACCCUAUUUGUGUUUUCAUUUGUAUACAUGUUGUGUGGUAAUUAUACAUUUCUUGUCUCCGCACUUGACCUUGAAUUCUGAGAAAUUUGGCUGCUUAUUUUUGAAACAGGUCGCAUUUCAAUCGAAUUUCUCUCUUAGUUCCUUGGUCAAACAGUUUGUUGAGUUUGGAGAUUUUGAUUCGGAAAUCAUUUUUUUCCAAAUUUUGUGCAUCUGCUGGCUUCGAAUGAUAUGCCAUUGUGAAAUAGCUGUUUUAACGAUUGAAAUUGGAGGGUGAUGUUUCGCCAUUAGGUAUGUGUGGUGGCUUGAUUUGGGGUACGUAGAUGGCUUUUAGAUAGAGUACGAAGGGAAAUGGUAGAGAGUUGUUCCGAUAAUAAACGAGAGGUUGACUGCACAGCCGUUAAUCACAAUUCCAGUGAAAUUCGGGGUUCUCAUAUUCACAGAGACCCUUCAUUUUCACGCUGGUGCGAUGAAGAUAGGAAUCUUCAUUUUGAACGUCAAUUAGAAAAUUCUGGUGCAAGCGUUGAAGAUUCUGAUUUUGAGUUGCCUUUGCUUCCACAGGAGAGGGUAGAAGAUGGGAGUGUAGGUAUCGAUAUUUAUCAAUAUAAAAAUAAGUUCCAUAACAAAAUUGUGCACUUGAGUGGUAAUAAUACCAUGGAUCAGGAAAUCAAUGUGCAUACCAUGGAUCAUGAAGUCAGUAUACACACAAUGGAUCAUGAAACCAACAUACAUAGCAGAGGGAAAGAAAAAGAUAAUUAUGUGCCAUUUGAUAUUGAAGAUAGAUCUCCCAUGGAGAUGCGUUCAUCAAAUAGCAGUGAUGAUGCAGCUGAUUCUUUUGCCAAUCAUGGGAAGUCGUCACUGAAGUCCAAGGGCCCUGUAUCUUGUGCCGAUGUGUUGAAGACUUUGUUUUUUAUACUUGUUUGGUACACUUUCAGCACAUUUUUGACCUUGUAAGUUCAUAUUUCACUUAAAUAAGCAUGAGAUGCUUGAUGAUUCCUCCAUGUUUCAAGUCACAUAUAUUUAUUUCCAUUUUCCCCUUCUUGGUAUUCUUUGGUUUUUGUAGAUACAAUAAAACUCUCUUAGGGGAUGACUUGGGAAAAUUCCCUGGUCCAUUGCUGAUGAAUACUGUCCAUUUUUCCAUGCAAGCUGUUCUAUCAAACUGCAUCACAUGGUUUUGGUCUCAUAGAUUUCAUCUCACUGUUUCUAUGACAUGGAGGGAUUAUUUUAUGAGAGGUAAGAUAGUACGUUAAUAUUCUUUUUUGUUUUAUUUUUGUAACUCAUUGAUUGUUUUUCCACAUUCCAAACAAAAGGCAAUGCUUUUUCUUUAAUUGCAUUUUUAAAAAAAAAAUUUGUGUGCAAGCUUUGAAAAUGAAGAACACGGGCUUCAGCUUCUGUAAUCUAGGAGAUGGGGUUGAACCUCAAGUAACAAGUUUUCUGUCUAGUAUUGUAGUUUGAAAAUGCUAAGGAUAUGUAUGCUCCCUUUUCAUCUCUAUUGAGAAAAAAUAAUUAUUGUGGCACAUUACUCUUAUAGGGAUUCCAUAUUUUUGGUCUUAAAGUUGUCCUUAAAUAAGAAAAGUUAGAUGUAAAAGGAAGUGUAGUGCCUUAACUUUUUGUUGUGAUCAUACCUUAUGGAACAAGGUGAUAACAGAAAUGGGAAUCCUUUUGGUUUUUCUUUGUAACAUAAACAAGUUACAUCAAUGAAUAAAUGCUACAUAACUUUCAAGGUCUAGAGAAAAAUUAUAAUGGCACAGUAAGCAUUGUAGAUUAUUCUUCUGUCUUGUGAAAACAUUAUUAGGGAACUUUAACUUAAACAUUAUCAGGAAACUUGGAUAUAAGGCUUGCUAAAAAUAUUUUUCCUCAUUUUUUAUAGAUGUCCUUAGAUACAUCCUAACGUCUGGGCUUUGCAAGGUCCCAUCCCCAGUAUCAUUGUCUGUCUUUGGUCCUUGAACUUCCAUUAUAUAACAGCCUGUACUAGAAGGGAAUCUAGUAAAAUGGGCAUGUGAAUUUCUUUCACGUGACUGGUUUCUUGGUUGAACAUGUGUGAGAUAGUCUAAGAGCUUGUAAAAUCUAAUGAUUAUUCUUGGUUCUUAUUCUUCAUUGGUACUAAUUUUAAGUAUUUUAAACUAAUGAUUUUUCACUUCCAUAUCUUUUUCGGUGGAAUUCUAUAUAACUUCUUUAAUUAACUUUUCUAUCAACUAAUGCUACAGAUGGACUUUCCCUUUCACAGUUGUACCAACAGCUCUUGGAACAGCAUUUGACGUUAACCUGAGCAAUGCAUCCCUUGUUUUGGUCUCUGUCACAUUUGCAACAAUGGUUUGUUCUGUUCCCCAUAUCUUGCUGGAUAUACCGGGCCAUCUGGAAUUUCUUUAUUCAUAAAUGGUGCAGCUGUUUUUGCUUAUACAGUAUUAUCUUUUAAGACUUCAAUUAUUUUUUUUUCUACAGUGUAAAUCUGCAUCUCCUAUAUUUCUUCUCCUAUUUGCUUUUGCAUUCAGGUGAAUAUCUUGCUGACUGAUCUUCUUCUUCAAUUUUGUAACUUCUGUAUUGUUGAGAUGCAUGUGUUCUAUCCUGCAUUUGUGCUUUUUCAACCCUUGUAAUGCAUGUGCCAUCUUACGAUGUUCUUUUAGUAGCUUUAUAAAGUUUAACUAUAUUGUUUCUUACUGAUUAUGAAGCUUAUUUAUUUCAAGGUUAAUGAAACCAUGAUGGAUGAUACAUUACAUAUGCUGUAAGGACCGAAACUUUACUUUGAAAAGUAACCCUGGGUAUUUUUGUAGUGCUAAAUUAUUUGGGAUUUUCAAGCUCUCCUACCCUCUUAUCCUUGCUUUUGCAGUAAAUUAAGACUUCUUUUCUAUAAGACCUUUUGGGUAAAUCAUCAUGUGGUUUUGCACCAUUGCAUUUCAGGUUGCUUGUGUUUUAUAAUUUUGGGUUUUGUGCUUUUAGCACUCAACUUGUGUUUUCUUGCUCUUUUUUGUCUUUAACGUGCAUGUAUUGUGGGGCAUGGAAAUAUUAAACUGUUUUAAUCCAGGUGUCUAGUUUGCUGUAUGCCCCCCAUUUUUUUGUCUUUUAAUCAGAAUUAAUUAUUUAAUUCAAUUUAACACGUCUGCCACUUAGUUUCGAACUUUGCUUUUGAAGGUUGGAGUCUCCAAGCAUUAAACUUUUAGGUAUCAUCAUAAUAAUCUGUGUUGGAAUUUUAUUGACAGGUAAGCAUCUUCAUCGUUUUUCAUUCUAAAAAUUAAUUGAUUAUUUGAUUAUGCAUUGCUUUUACUUCCCACUUAUCAUUUCAGAUUAGAAGUUUAGAACUUAGAAUAAUCACUCAGCUUUAAUGUUGAGAAAACGUUCAUAUAACAUUAGAUGUUUUUUGUUAUUUAUGCAUAACUGUUAGUUGGACUUGGAUCUAAUAUAACUUAUAUUCAUAUAUUCAUAUAACUUAAAAUUCAUUUAUUCAUUAUAACUUGUAUUUCUCUGCAUUUUGUGUCCUUCUUGGUUUGCUUGUUUAGUCCCUUCGGUGCAUUGUCAUUAACAAACUAUUGUUUGGUUGUGCCAUUUUGGGAUUUGCUCUGAUCAAAGCUAUUGCAUUGUUUGCAUUAGUGAUGGCGUGCAUUCUAUAUCAUAUGUGAAAGUCCUUUUUGCUAAGAAGUUAUGCUAAACUGUUGUACAACUUAUACAUUGGCACACAUGUCUUGCCCUGUAAAUUUAUGACAUAUCCCACCUCUUAGUAUGUGUAUCUCAUAAUGACCAGAUGUAAACUUCCAAUAGUUAGGAAUAUCUUAUCAAUAAUUUUAUAGUAAUGGGGCACAUAAUUUUGGAGGAUGUAUUAUCGCGUGGGGAGACGUAUUUUUUGCAACAUUUAUUGAUAAAGUAAUUCAUUUGUAUGACAGUAUCCACAUUCUAUUAGGCAUCAAGUUAACAACUGAAUUUUGAUGCAAGUCAAUUUGUAUAGGCAUCAACUGAAAGAAGGAAAUUAAAAUUUUCUGUUCUGAUAAUGCAACUCUUAUACUCUGCAGAUGUAUAUUCCCAUAUCCUAGAAUUUAAAUUCAGAUCAUGUUUAACACCUGGACACUGUUUUAUCCAAUACUCCUAUAUAAGCGUAUACUAUAACAACGACAAAAAAAAAAAAAAUAGUAACAACAAUAUUGUUUCCUUGCCUCCUAUAUUUAAGGAUGCCAGUUUCCAUCACUAAAAUUUAUAUGACUAAAUUUUGUCUGUUCCAGAUCUCAAGCAUUCAUUUUCUCUAGUAUUUGUCGUUUAAAAUUUUUCGGGCAUGCUUGUAUGUUUUUACAUUUGACUUAAUUAAUUGUUUAUCCAGUGGCAAAGGAGGCAGAAUUUGAAUUUUGGGGAUUUAUUUUUGUUAUGCUUUCUGCUGUUAUGUCUGGGUUUCGCUGGUGUAUGACUCAAAUUCUUCUGCAGGUAUGAUCUGGUUACUAUUUUUAUAAUAUUAUGGAACCUUAAGUAUAAUUAGUGAUACAUAAUUGGUAACCUUUAAUAGACAAUAGAGUUUUUUUUUAACUCUCUCACACUCUCUGAUUUUGUUUUUGUUUCUUCUUCCUCUUGGAAUUUGAUUUCCCAAUUUGGUGAUGCAUGGCAAUCCAAACUGACAUAAAGAAAGAAGAAUAUGGUAGGCAUUUUUUUUGUUCCUCUUAUUUUCAGUUCAGCAAUUUCCCAUGCUGUUAGCUAUUAUUUAUAUGCUUUUGAAAUGUGUUUACAAGAAAUGAUUCCAUAUUUGUUGGUUUUAAAGAUGAGGUUGCAAAGACUGAUAUUUGUGAUGCCAUUAAUUUGCCGUGAAAAGGUAAGUUAUGCGAGCAGGGCAAUAUACUUGGUUAAUAUGUGCCAAGAAAGGAUUAAUCUAUCUUCACAAUCUAAAUAAUACAACUUUUUGGUUUUCUCAUUUCUUAAUUGCCCUUGUCGUUGAUGUCGAGUAGGAUGAUUGAUAGGGUGGGUCGAAGGGAUUUGAUUCAUGGUGUCAAUCCAAUUUAUUUGUUAACUUCUACCCUUGAUCAACAUUAUUCUUAUCUAAAGUGGAACUAGGAUACAGGUGUAGGCUAAGUAAAUCAAUGGAUAGUUUCAAAUCUUUUGAAAAUACCGGUAUAAGUGAAGAUCCAGUUCUAAAUGAUACAGAAAACACUCAUGGUUGGAGUAAUAGUGACAGCUCUAGUUAAAGCCAUGUUGAUCAUUUAGUCAGCGUUAGGGACAUUCAGAAUUUCAACACCGAUGAAACUUUUUAGUUAGGGAUAGUAUUGGGGACAAUUAUUCCAUAAAUUGAUAUUCAAAAUAAUGUUUUUGAUAUUUACAAUUUCCAUUCUUUUUUGAGUGAACUAAAAAAUAUUGUUGCUUGGGGUGUCGAUUGAGUUUUAUAUUGUAAUUUGUAAUGCAACAUUAAGGUGCUUCUUUUUGGUUCCCUUUCAGGUUUGAAAAAUCCACUUACAUUGAUGAGCUAUGUGACUCCAGUGAUGGCAAUUGCAACUGCUCUUCUAUCUCUUAUAUUUGAUCCGUGGUAUGAAUUUAAAAAGAGUAGUUACUUUGAUAAUUCUUGGCAUAUUGCUCGGAGCUGCUUGUUGAUGUUUUUUGGUGGAGCACUGGCCUUUUUCAUGGUAUGAAUCUAGGUCAAAAAAAUUUUCUCUGUCCAUCUAUCUUUCCUUUUUAUCUUUAUUAUUUUUUUUAUGAGUGUGGACUCGGUAGUUUGAAUUUUAUGAAGUUGUUGAAGAAUGAAGAUUAGAUUUUCUUUUGAUAUUCAUUUCAUGUUGGCAUGCUCCAAAAACGGGAGUGCUAAGAUGGAUGAGUGGAAAUAUAUAAGCGACAAAUGCAUUCAUAGGAACAUAGAAGUAGUGAGGAAAUUUGAGGAGAGGAUAUUGAGGUCACUGGUCAUUGUUGACUAGCAAUUGUGCUAGUGAGAAAAGAUGGGAUAUUGAAGUUGUAUUGGAAAAGAAAAGGCAGACUUCAGAUGAUGCUAGGAGCAGUGGAAAAUUAUUUAGUAAUCCUAACUUCUGAAGAUGUAUCCUUAAACUGACUGUGGUGGAGGAAAAAAAAAUCCAUACAGGCUUACUCCAAAUAUUUUGAGGUUGGAUUUAGUUGAGUUGAUAUCAGUAAGUUGUGUUUUUUCUUGUUCUAAGAUUAUGUCAUUGAAGAAAUUAAAAUAUUUCUUUGACGUUGCAGGUUUUAACAGAAUUUGUCCUUGUUUCAGUAACUAGUGCUGUCACUGUUACUAUUGCUGGUGUUGUCAAGGAGGCAGUCACCAUAUUGGUAUAAGCUCUUUACUACAUUACUGGUCUCUUCCUUGAUUCAUGCAAAAAAUGUUUGCCUACCAAAAAACAUAAGUGUGGUCCUUUCUUCUUGUUAUUUCCCAUUAGAAUUUGUUUCUUAAUCCUGCAGUGUAACCUUGGACUUAGAUGUUAAUUGCGUUCUUUUUCUGCUUAAACUCUUUUAAUACUUUAUGCUCAUUACUCUGCCAUGUUUUAAGAAAUCCUUAAUGUUUGUCAGUUUUGUUAAUAACUGCUUAUUAGGUGGCUGCUAAUGCCUAACACUUGCUAAUAGUCAUUCACAUGUUUAUUGUGCAUAUCAGGUUGCUGUCUUUUACUUCCAUGACGAAUUUACAUGGCUUAAAGGUCUUGGCCUUUUAAUCAUAAUGGUGGGCGUGAGUUUAUUCAACUGGUACAAGUAAGUCAUCAAUCAGUGUAGUCUGAAAUGAUCUGGUAUAUCUUAUAAAUUGCCAAUUUCUCCCAUAGUCAAGUUAAGUUGUUUCUAUAUUUGCAUUUCUUGGUCUUCGGCAGUUGAUUUUGUUCCUGACCCUUUUUUUUGCAUUCUUCAAGUUAAGUGGUUUUCUUGGUUCUUUAAUAUGCACUUGACUUUUUGAAAUUAACUUAAAAGUUAAACAGUUGCAUUAAUGUUAAACAUGCAAUUUGAACUAAGUGCGAAAUCUGAAUUUUCUAGGUCAGGUCAAUUUAGGUUCGUUGGGCCAUUUGACAUUUUUUGAGUGCCCUUAGUACUGGUUUCCAUACAAACUGGUGAAGCCUAGGGAUGUCAGGCGGGCGGGUUUUUACGGGUACCCGAUCCGUCCAAACCCUAUUAGGACGGAUUUGGGUUUUUACAAAACGGAUUUGGGCGGAUUCGGAUUUAAAAAAUUUUACCCGUUUCGAAUUCGAGUAGGGUUAGAUAAUCGGAUACCCGUUACCCAAACCCGAUUACCUAUAUUAACAAACUAACCCUAAUUUUCUUUUUCAUUUUACUCUUUUCUCUCUCCGUCGGCGCCUCUCUCCCUUGCUCGUCGAUGCCUCUCGCGUUCCUUUCCUCUCGCGCCUCUCUCCCUCGCGUCCCUUUCCUCUCUUCGUCGACGCCACCGGCUACGUCUCCUUUCUCUCCCCGAUAAAUCUUCUCUCUCCACAGUGCGAUAUCUCCUUCUCUCUCUCCCGUCGGUGACAUCUCCCACUUCCCAGUCAAGGCCUCUCUCCCCCACUUCACUGACGAGUGCCGGCAAUCGGCACCGGCGACGUCUCCUUUCUCUCCCCAGUCGACAAUAAAUCUUCUCUCUCCCCGGUCAGCGAUAUCUCUUCUCUCUCUCCAGCGGCGGCAUCUCCGGCUAGUAAGUGGGAGACAACUCUUCCCUCUCCUUCUACUGCUAUUUCUUGUCAUUGAACAUUUCUCCUUCUACUCCUUCUACUGCUGGGUUUGCUGGGUUUGCUGGGUUUGCUGGUUUGCUGGUUUGCUGGUUUGCUGGGUUUGCUGGGUUGAUGGGUUGCUGGGUUUGUUGGGUUUGCUGGGUUUGCUGGGUUUGCUAGGUUUGCUAGGUUUGCUAGGUUUGCUGUUUCUUGUCAUUGAAUUGAUUGUAUUUGAUUAAUGUAAUACUGUUGAUUUUUAGAAUUUAUGAACAAUUAAUGGUUAUAAAUCAUUAUUUGCUGGGUUGCUGCUGAGUUGCUGGUUCUUGUCAUUGAACAUUUCUUCUUUAUCUGCUGGGUUGUGCAAAUGUUAAAGAAGUUUAUUUGCUAGUUUAUUGAAUUUAAAAUAUCGGGUUCGGGUAUUGUGCGGGUAUUGUUAAACGGAUUUGGGACGGGUUCGGAUAAUAAAAUUAAAAUAUUAAACGGGUUUGGGACGGGUUUGGAAAUUGUAUAUAUAAUCGGAUUCGGGUUUGGAUACUCUCAAUUUUGCGGGUACCCUACCCGUUUACAUCCCUAGUGAAGCCAAUUAUUUGCAUAGACAAUUUGUUCAUGAGAUGCUUUUUUUUACUUCGCAAAAGUAAACUGACCAUACAUUAUCUCUUAUACAAUGAUUAAAUCAGUUGAGUGGAAAACCUUGAUCUAUUUGAAGUUUGAUUCUGACUGAUGGAACCCAUUUUAACCUUGCAUGAAAAAGGUGUGGAAGGUGGCUCCUGAUCAUUAUUAAACAACCAAAUCUCAUUUAAUGUUGUGGAACAUUGAAGCAACAGAUAAACUAUAUGCUGCAGAUUUGACUCCUAAAUUUGACUUGGUCUUUGGAGAUUGUAUUAACCAAUAGUCAUACUUCAGAUUAGCAACCUUCAGUUUCUAUUCAAGCAGUGCAAAUUUAGACUGGUUAACUAUAUUACAGUACCUGACCGGACUACUCGUAAUACUAGUUUCAUGCUUAUUCAGGUAUGAUAAGCUACAAAAGCAUCAAAUGAGUGAAGAUGACUUGGUUGGGUCACCUACAACAAAUUUUGCUGCAAAAUAUGUCAUACUGGAGGAAAUGGGUGAUGAAAAUGACGUGAGUUAGAGCUUUUGUAUUAUUGAGUAAGCCUCUUGCAGUUCUUUGAUGGAUAUUGUGACUCUGCAUUUUGCUUCUUCAAGCUUAUUAAAACUUCUCAUCUGCGUUAGCUUUUAUUACUUGCAUGCUGUUUGCGUUGUUUUGAUAUUUGAAGACCUAAAAGAUGCUGUUGAAAUUUAGGUCGUUGGUUGUUGGAGAAGCGUGUGAUGAGUGCUGCUGUCAAGGGGCAACUAAUUAUGUAUUUGCAGAUUUCUUCAGUCAAUUGCUCUUUUACUUGUACUUUUAUCAAAUGAUUGUGGAUUAUGAAAUUUUGGGACGUAAUAACAGUCCAGAUUUAUUACUCAAGACUUUUUCCUUAGGCAUGAUUGUAGAAGAGCAUGUUUAUUUUUAUCCAAAGUUUUCUCAAAAUUUGAGUAGUAGAGGAUAUUUUUUACUUCCAAAGUUACACUUCUGUAAUACUUGGUUGAUUCAAUUGAGGGUGCUGCGGUCCCCACCAAUCUUACCUAUGUUGUUUACACAUAGGAUGUAUCUUUAUUUGGAUUUUGCUGUUCUCGGGAGGAACAGUUUUUAUGCUGUGUUGUUUAACUUUUGUAAAUGCAGUAUUCCUGAAUCAUCGUAAUCGUCAGCUUAGGCUGUUUUCCUGUUCUGCUUUUCCUUUUAGUCUGCUCCAUCCCUUGUAUAACCAAGUUUUUGAAAAAAAAUAAAGAUUGAAAUGCCACCCCCUCAGCGUACUGCACUUUUUUAUCCGUCUCAAAAUCAAGUUGUUUUUUUGAGAUUGUUAUUUACUUUUUAGUUUAUUAAUAUACUUCUAUUUAAAUAUAUAUUUUUAAAAAAAUACAUUAGUUUUAAGAAUGAUCAAUAAUGAGUUAAUUAAAAUUUUAAUGUGUAGAGUAUAAUAGAAAAGAAUUAAAAUUCAAAUUUGUUUCAUAUAUACAUAUAACUUUAUGGGAUACAGUAUGAAAAGUAUCUAAAAAAGGGUCUUUGGCUUAAAAAUGAAAAAGCCGCGAUAAAUAGCAUAUGCAAAGAUUUGCUGGAUUUGGGGCAUGCGGAUUGUGCAUCAUUUUUUCCUACCCUUGAUCGAGUAACAGAGGGCGGCCUUUCUUUGAACAUAAUGAUUUCGUCAACUGUAUAGCUGUCUGGUUGAGUCAUUCAUAUCCAUUGUACUUGUCGGAUACGCGGCUUUAUUAAUUCAGCCAGUAGGCCGCGCUAUUAUUAUUUUUAUUUAUAUUUUUCUAAAAUUUUAUUUAUUUCUUAUAUGGUCAAGUCUGUACCAAAAUUUGGAGAUUAUUAAAAAGAAAUAUAUUUUUAAACCUUGACUAUUAGGAGAGAGAUGACAAUAUUCUUUGUCUUUAAAAGUUUGAUUAAUAGGAAAUUUUUAUAGUACUUUUAUUUCUAUGAAGUUAAUCUUAUUUUAUUAGUACUUAUUGGUGGAUGAUUUAUAAGAAAAAUAUAAUUCAUGGUGAAAUAGAGAUAAUAAAAAAGAAAAAGGAAAAUAAAAUCAAAAUUUUUCGUAUUAGUUUUUCUAUUGCAAAGGAGGUCCUACUUGCUUGGAUUUGGUAAGGAUAAAACAAAGCGGGAUCCACACUAUUGGAAUUAUUGAUCGAAGGGGAGGAAGAUAAAAAAGGUAGAUGAUGGUUGACCGUUUACUUGGAACCAACUUGGAGCCAACUUGGAGCCAAUUGGAAGGAACAAAACAACAGGCAACAGCAUUGAAACUUCUCAACGUAUAUCCCACAUCAUUAGUUUUCUAAUUAAUUUGAACCUGCCUCGCCUUCUAUUCUCCUGUCUUCUUCGAUGGGCUUUUCCUGGACAAGGUCCUUUCUCCUUUGCUUUCUUGUGCUUCUCCAUUAUGUUUACUUCCCAAAUGCUGAAACUUUCGAUUACCCAACUGCAAAUCUCUCUACUUCAUGGACAAACAGCCCCUCUCUUCCCCAUUCUGUAAAUUUCACCGAUAGAUCGAUGGUUAGAGCCAUCCUUCUCAGGGGAACCUUUGGUCCAAGGUUUGCUUGCGGUUUCUUCUGCAAUGGAACCUGCGACUCUUACCUCUUUGCCAUUUUCAUUGUUCAGACCAAUAGUGUAUCAUAUAUAACGUCCCCUGCUAUUGGUUUCCCUCAAGUAGUUUGGUCUGCCAACAGAAACAAUCCUGUCGGAAUCAAUUCGACAUUGCAGCUCACAUCAGAUGGAGAUUUUAUCUUAAAAGAUGCUGAUGGAACUGUGGCUUGGUCCACGAAUACUAGUGGCAAAUCUGUUGCUGGCUUAAACUUGACUGAUAUGGGCAAUCUUGUGCUUUUUGAUCAUAAUAAUGCUACAGUGUGGCAAUCUUUUGAUCACCCAACUGAUUCUUUGGUUCCGGGGCAAAAGUUGGUGGCAGGGAAGAAACUUGUUCCUAGUAUUUCUCUGACAAAUUGGACUCAACUUAAUUUGCUUUCAUUUUCUGUCACUGAUGAAGGAUCUUUUGCUUCGGUUGAGUCUAGUCCACCUCAGCUCUACUAUGAAUCCAGAGUUAAUGACAGAACAACGAAUAGAGAGCCAACCUAUGUCACUCUUCAGAAUGGAAGCUUUGCUUUGUUCAGCAAUUCAUCUAAGGCAAGUGAGCCAGAUACCUUCAAGCCCAUUCCAAAAGCCUCAUCAGUACAGUAUGCGAGGUUUGGUCCUGACGGGCAUUUGAGACUUUACGAGUGGACAACAGAUGGGUGGACACAAGUUGACGAUCUGCUUUCAUCUCCAGGGUAUGAAUGUUUCUAUCCUACAGUUUGUGGGAACUAUGGAAUUUGCUCCAAUGGGCAGUGCAGUUGUCCUACAACAACUUAUUUCAAGCAAAUAAAUGAUAGGCGUCCUGAUAUUGGGUGUUCUGAAAUUACUCCCUUGUCUUGUCAAGCUUCUCCAAAUCACAGUCUUAUAGAGUUUAGGGAUACAACAUAUUUCUCAGUUUCCAGUGACCUCCAAAAUGUGGAUUUGGAAAAAUGCAAGGAGGCUUGUUCUAAGAAUUGCUCCUGCAAAGCAGCUAUUUUUCGAUAUGGUUCUGAUUCUGCCAAAGGUUCUUGCUACUUGCCAAAUCAGGUAUUUUCAUUGAUAAACAAUGACAAGGAAAGAACUCAUUAUAAUUCUACUGUAUUCUUGAAGGUGCAAAAUGCCCCAUCCCCACCUGCAGAAGCUAUAGCUCCUCAGCAGAAAAGAAAAAGCCGGUCGACAGUUAUAUUAUGGUCCAGCCUUGGAACAGUUUCUGGUUUGUUUCUUGUGAUUGGAAUCAUAGUGUUAUUAGUUUGGAAGAAAAGAAAUGCAGAUAUAGAUGAGGAAGAUUACUUGGAUCAAGUACCAGGCAUGCCCACUCGAUUUUCCUACGAAAAUUUAAAAGCUUUGACAGAUAACUUCUCCAAGAUUCUAGGUGAGGGGGGAUUUGGUUCAGUUUUUGAAGGGACUCUAAUUGAUGGCACCAAAAUUGCAGUGAAGCGUCUCAAUGGUGUAGGCCAAAUCAAAAAAUCAUUCUUGGCUGAGGUUGAGUCAAUUGGCAGCAUCCACCAUGUGAACUUGGUAAGGCUGCUUGGUUUUUGUGCUGAUAAAUCCCACAGGCUUCUUGUUUACGAGUUCAUGUCUAAUGGGUCCUUGGAGAAAUGGAUCUUCCAUCAAACCCAUGAAUCUGCUCUUUCCUGGCAACAGAGAAAGAAGAUCAUCCUCGACAUAGCGAAGGGACUCACCUAUCUUCAUGAAGAUUGCACACAAAAGAUAAUCCAUUUAGACAUUAAACCCCAAAACAUUCUCUUAGACAAUAAGUUCAACGCGAAAAUCUCAGAUUUCGGAUUGUCUAAACUGAUUGAUAGAGACCAAAGCAAAGUUGUGACAACCAUGAGAGGCACUCCAGGAUAUUUGGCUCCAGAAUGGCUGAGCUCAGUAAUCACAGAAAAGGCAGACGUCUAUAGCUUUGGGGUGGUUGUCCUAGAACUCGUAUGUGGAAGAAGAAACGUCGAUCACUCGCAGCCAGAAGAACAAAUGUACCUAAUAAGCCUUUUUGAGAAGAAAGCAGAAGAGGAUCUAUUGUUUGAUCUAGUUUAUAAUUGCAGUGAAGAGAUGCAGUUGCACAAAGCAGAAAUAUUGAAGAUGAUGAAAGUUGCUGCUUGGUGUUUGCAAAAGGAUCAUGCAAUGAGGCCUUCCAUGUCAAUGGUGGUGAAAGUUUUGGAAGGUGUUAGAGAAGUUGAACCUAAUGUAGACUAUAACAUUUCUAAUUCAUCAAUCUCAACAUCCUCAACACAAGUUACUGAGUUGUUGCCCUUUCUUCUAUCUGGGCCAAGGUGAGUGUUCAUUGUUAAUUUUGUUCAGUUGUGCUUUCUGCUGUUUGAGCUUGUAUGGAAGAGAACUACACAUGUGAAAUUAGUCAUUCCAGUUGAUGGAAUAAUGGAAUGUUCUCUUCUAGUCUUUUCUUUCUAAUGAUAGAAUAAGUGAAGUCUAUUUGAAUUUCCCAUAUCAAACUCAAAUUUUUCUUAGUUAUUCAUUUGAUAGAAUUUCAAUGUUGUAUCUAUUUUAAUUUAAAGGAAGAUUCAUAGAUGAAAUACAGAGAUUUGCUCCUCCAUCUUCUUCCUACUUCCAAAAUCCCAAGAACACAGAACUCCAAGGAGUAAGCACAAACCCAUGAAACCAAACUAAGGGGAAUUCUCAGUAAUUGUGAAGGAGGAAUGCUAUUGCCACCACGGAUAAUAUGGAUGAUUUUAAGAUCUAUGGUAAAUAUUACUCUAUCACCAUUAAAUAUUACUCAUAAAUUAUAAUUUACUUCUUAAUAUUAAGUAAAAGAUAUAUUUUAGACCUUAUUUUUUUAAAAUUUAGUCUUUCUGAUUUUAUUUAUUAAUAAAAUAGUUCUUUAAUUUAAAAUUUAUAUUUUAAUUAAAAUUAAUUUCAAUAUUUUUAUCUAUUAUAUUUGCAAAUUAAUUUUUCUAUUUAUUAAAUUUUAAUAUUUUAUAUAUGAAAAAAUAAAAUUAAAUAAAAAAUUUAUCUUUUUUUCUAAUUAAAUAAAAAAAUCAUUGAUAAGAGAAAAGUUAAAUAAGAAUAAAAUUUAUUAGGUUUGAAAUUUAGAUGCAUGCUAAAAUUCUUGUUUUAAUUUUUAUUUUGUUAAUUUAUUGUUAAAUAUAUAAGAUAUUAAAUUUAAUAAAAAUGAAAGAUUACUUAUUUGUAAGUAAUUAUAUUAUUUAGAAUUAAUUUAUAAAAAUAUAAGGAUGAAUUAUAAUUAAAGAAAUUAUUUUAUUAUAAAAUAAAAUUUAGAGAUUUGUGGAUUAAAUUAUAUUUUUUUAUAAAAAAUUUUAAUGAUUGAAAUGUAAUUUACUUUAAUUAUAAAUUAUUUUUAUUUAAUUUUUAAAGUUAUAUAAAGAUUUAUUAAUGGUGUUAGAAAAAAAGUUUAUUUUAUUAACGAAUUAAAUUAUAGAAUUGUAUUUAAAAAAAUGUUAAAUCAGAUGAUAAUUUUUUAUAAUUAUCCUUUAAUUAAAUUAUAAUUAAUUAAGCAUAAUUGUAUAUUUAAAUUUAUAAUUAUCUUUUAAUUAAAUUAUAAUUAAUUAAGCAUAAUUUGUUCAGAUAGAAAUUGACAAAUUUGAACGCAAUAACAAUAAGAAAAAUUUAUCAAAUUCAGUUAGGGCAUAGUUGCAGAAAAAGAAAAUGGCAUAAGAGCAAACAUAAGAGAAAAUGGCAUAAAUUGGUUAUUAUACUCGUAUUUAGUUUUAUUUUAUUUUUAAAAUAAUUUUAAAUUAUUUUUCUAAAUUAAUAUUUAAUAAAAUUUAAUGUAUUUAUAAAAAAUAUAAUUAAAAAAUUAAUAAAAAAAAUAUUUUUAUUAAUACGUAUGAAAAAUGGAAAGAGCCACCGCUAUUGGAUGGCUGAGAGGAAGAAAAGUGAUUUUGAAAGAGGGUAAGUUAAUAUUUUUAUGAUAACUUAAUAGCCAAACGCGUUAAAAGUUUGAUUUGUAGGGACUUUAAUGUUAUUAUUAAAAAUACAGGGAUGAGUUCAUAAACAAUGACAAAUACUCUCUUUGGUCAAAAGUCAAAACCUUUAAAAAACCCUAGCUCUCCUUCUCUCUAGUUAUGCAUGAAAAGCUCUCCUCAUCUUCAUCUGCUUCUAUGAAAAGCUCUCAACUUCCAUGUGGGUUUCGUCUUUCAGGUCAGUGUUUAAUCUUAACAGAAAACUCCUGACCCCUAAACCCAUCUCUAUUCCAGUUCUUCCCUUCAAUUCCAAAUCUUUCUCAAUUGCUCCCUUGAUCGGUAAUUCAACCACCGCCGAUAGCGACAUCGACGGCGACCAGCUACAACAUCUGGAUUCAUUCGAGGCUGUUGAUAUCUUAUACAGCCUUAAGGAACAGCCGGAUCGUGCUUUCUCCUUCUUUUGCAAAUUGAAGGACUUGGGCUUCCAACAUGACGUCUCUUCAUAUGCUGCCGUUAUUAGAAUUCUCUGUUAUGGGGGUCUCGACAGGAACCUCCAUUUAAUUUUCUCUGAUCUUAUUCUGGAUUCUCGCAAUGGUAAUGGUGCUUCUUUUGAUGUUUCACGUUUGCUUGAUACGCUCAGUGAAGGGGUUGCUGAUGACGCUAAACAACACUCAUCAUUUCUUUUUAAAGUAUAUGAUGCCUUGAUUAAGUCCUAUGUUAGUGCUGGUAUGUUUAAUGAGGCUAUUGAUGCUUUGUUCCAAAUGGGUAGGCGUGGAUUCGUGCCCCAUAUAUUCACCUGUAACGUUCUUAUGAACAAAUUGAUUCAGAAUGGUAAAAUCGAUAUGGCUUUGGCCAUUUACAAACAGUUGAAGAGGAUGGGUUUGAGCCCUAAUGAUUACACCUAUGCCACUGUGAUAAAGGCAUUUUGCAUUAAGGGUAGUUUAGAAGAGGCUGCGGAUGUCUUUACGGAUAUUGAGGAAGAUGGUGCUACCACCAUUUAUUUUGCUUACACAGCUUAUAUAGAAGGACUUUGUGUGAAUCAGAAGUCGGACUUGGGCUAUCAGGUGCUUCAAGCAUGGAAAGCAGCCAACAUCCCCUUUGAUAUAUAUGUUUAUGCAGUUGCAAUUCGUGGCUUUUGCAAUGAGAUGAAAUUGGACAAAGCAGAAGGAGUCUUACUUGACAUGGAAAAAGAAGGGUUAGUUCCAAAUAUGUAUUGCUACAAUGCACUGAUUUGUGGGUUGUGCAAGGGUGGGAGAUUGCUAAAAGCAUAUGCUCUCCUCAAUGACAUGAUGUCUAAGGGUGUCGAAAUAUUUUGUGUGGCUGUUGGUUCAAUUCUUCAAUGCUUGUGUGAAAUGGGCAUGCAUUCUGAAGUGUUGGAUCAAUUUAAUGAAUUUAAGAACUUAGGUAUAUUUCUAGAUGAGGUUUCCUACAACAUUGCAGUUGAUGCUUUGUGCAAACUGGGAAAACUAGAAGAAGCUGUAGCAUUGCUAGAUGAAAUGAAGGUCAAGCAAAUGGAUAUGGAUAUUAUGCAUUAUACGACUCUAAUUAAUGGGUAUUGUUGCCACGGAAAUCUGGUUGAUGCAUGCAAGGUAUUUGAGGAAAUGAUAGAGAAGGGUUUGAAGCCAGAUAUUAUCACUUACAAUGUACUUGCUAGUGGAUUUUGUAGACAAGGCCUUGCAACUGAGGCACUUAACCUUUUGGAUCAUAUGGAAACGCAGGAUCUGAAACCUAGUACUAUUACACAUAAUGUAGUAAUUGAAAGUUUAUGUGAAGGAGGGAGAGUGAAAGAAGCUGAAGCAUUUUUUAAUUGUAUAAAGGAUAAGAGUUUAGAUAAUUAUGCUGCCAUGAUUAAUGGAUACUGUAAAGCCAGCCAUACUAGAGAGGCUUACAAGCUUUUCAUUAAACUUUCAGGACAGGGACAUAUAGUGAAGAAAAGUUGCUGCUACAAUCUUAUCAAAAACCUGUGUGUGGAAGGUGAUAAUGAUAGAAUUCUCAUGCUGCUAAAGAAAAUGUUGGAUUUAAAUGUCGUACCUAGCAAAGUUAUGUACAGUAGAAUCAUUGCUACUCUGUGUCGGAUUGGGGAUGUGAAAAAUGCAGAGUCAGUUUUUGACAUCAUGUCUGCAAAAGGGUUGACUCCUGACAUCUUCACCUACACAAUUAUGAUGAAUGGUUACUGCAGGAUGAAUUGCUUGCAGGAAGCCCGUGAUCUUUUUCAUGAUAUGAAACGAAGAGGAAUUAAACCUGAUCUGGUUACUUUUACAGUUUUGCUCGAUGCUCAUCAGAAAGCAUAUAUAAGGAAGGUGCGUUCCCAAGCCAGUCCUAAGGGAAGCAAUAAAGACAUGUUUGAUGCUUCAUCUGUUUGGACAGAAAUGAAGAAUACGGGGAUCAGACCUGAUGUCAUUUGUUAUACUGUCCUGAUUGAUGGACAUUGCAAGGCAGAUAACCUUCAGGAUGCUGUAUGCCUCUUUGAUGAAAUGAUUGAGAGAGGAUUAGAGCCUGAUACAGUAACUUACACAGCUCUUCUCUCCGGACUUUGUAACAGGGGAGAUGUGGAUAAGGCUGUAAACCUUCUUGAUCAAAUGUCACUAAAGGGGAUACUGCCUGAUACUCGCACAAUGUCUGCUUUAGAGCGCGGUAUUCUAAAAGCCAGGAAGGUACAGUUUCAAAAGUAACUACUUCUGUAAAUGAUGGUGGCUGGAUGAAUCCAAAAUAUGUGAACUAGACCAAAAAUUAUUCUCAGGUAUAACUUGAUGUUAGUCCCUUUGGUAAUUUUGCGUUUCUCUGCGUAUGUGUAUUUUUAUUUGUUCCUUUGUCAACCUGUAAAAUAAUAUUAUGGAGAUUAAAUUGCCAGUUUAUGUCUUCUACCAAUACUAGCAGGGUGGCUACUGACUACUGCAUUGAGUAAUUCCAUGUGAGCUGGAAAAGUCUAUCUGAACUGUGGAAUUGGUAUGUUUCUCUACUUCUUUUAAAUCUUCCAUCAUUUAUAUUCGCAAAGGUUUCAACUUUCAACUGAAAGCAUCUUAUAACACAUCCAUUUGGGAGGUCAUCUGGAAUCCAAUCUCUUAAACUAUGUAGAAAUUUAUGAUGAAAAUGUCAAUAAUCAUCCUAUAUGCUUAUGUUUUGAUCUUUGAAGUUCUAAGUCUCUUGCAACUCUGUGAUAUAUUCAAUACAUGUAUCUUUGUUAUCUGUAAUUCAAUAGAUCAUUUGAAAUCAACAGUAAAAAUACUAGAUGUACAUGCUUCAAGGAACAUGCUUUGGUGAAAUGCAUUAGGUAAAGGCCUAUGUGGUCUAUUGCUUCACAUUACUAAUACUUGGAGUAGAUUUACUGCAUUUCAAUUUUGAACUGGGUGUCUGUAUUUCUGCUAUUGCACUUGAACCCUGUUAAGAAUCCAUUUUAUUCUAGUGAGGGUAGUAUAUUCAUGUCACUUAUGACACCUGUAUCAAAUGCUUGGCCUUAACAUCAGUUAUUCAAAUUUCUUGUGCUUGGGCCUUGCCUCAAGUUUGUGAUGGUGUGUUGGUGUGAGGUUGAUAUCAUGUUUCAAAUUCAACUCUAUCAUUUUCUCUGUGUGAGUUAGCAAAAUUAAACUCCUAGUCAUGGUGAGCACAAAAUUACUUUAAAGUAUUUGUGCCAAUAGUCAUUCAAUUAAUGGUGCGCAAGCAUGGGUAAAACUGAUAAUUCGUUCUGAUAUUUGUGGGAAACUCAUAGCUAAGAGAGCUAAAGUAAUGCCUUUAUUUUGAAAAAUGAAGAAAAAAGUUCUGAGGAAUAUUCAUCAAUGCGUGAAUCUCACUUUAAUGCUAUAUUUCAAGUAGGUGACUAGGACUUCCCCUGCUGAUUCUUAUGAAUCCUCCUCACCCUAUUGUGAGGGUGGUGGAGGAGAAAGUAUGAUAUACCUACAGAGAAAAAUGUCGCCUAGCACAGGGGAGAUUGUCUUUUUUGUGUAUUUAUUUUUUUUUUAUAAGAAAUAGCUCUGCCAUUUGCGAGGGGGCUUAAUCUCAUUGCUGGUUGCUAUAUAUAUAUAUAUAUAUAUUAUUUUUUUCAGCACAUUCAAGUUCAAUUUGUAUCAUAAAUUUCAAUGACAGUAACAAUAAUUAUCACCUGAUUUCAGUGUGGUCACUUAAGUUUUAUGAUAUAUUGAUUAAACAUUGUUGAAGUUCAGUCCACUUGAGGUGGAAAUCUCGCUGAAUGGUAGAGAUCAAGUUGAAGAUUAUGUCUUGUCUUUCCCUCCUUUUCUUUUGCUGUCUCUCUCCACUUGUUUGGAAUUGUCUAGUUUGUUACUUGAGGAAUUAUGGUUUAUAUUUAUGCUAUUUUUGUUUUCUGUUUUUGGUGUAUCACAAUUAAUCUUCUAUAUUUGGACCAUAUCACUAUGGUUGUUAUAUUGUUAUUAUUGUUAUUGUGUACUAAAUUUAGUAAGUUAUUAUAUGGAGAUGAAACACAUUAUCUGUUGCCUUUUUUAUGCUAAAAGAUCAUCUCAAACUACACUUAAUUAGACUAUGCUAUCCUACCACUAUUGUUCCCUUUCAAGUUAAAUUAGCUUUCCAUGUUAGGCAAUUCUUUUCAUUAGAUUUGGUGCCUGACUUCAGUGCAUUAUAUCUUGUUGAACACUUCUGGAGCUAACUUUUAAAAAACGAUUUUCUACUCAGAUGAAAUGCUUGUCAAUUUCAAGGAAGCUUGUAAGUAUCACCUACCUUAUUCUGUUAUGUUCAAGCGAGGUAAAGACUUUACCAGUGUUAGUACAGCGCCCUAAAUUCAAGGAUAGUAGGUGAAAUUUACCUCGGUGCUUUGAAUCUGUCAAUUUUGCAUGCAUGUGUGUGUAUUUUUUUCUUUCUUUGUAGUUGUUUUAUUUGUAAGAAUCUUGGUGCAAUAGAGUAACAAUUUUUAAUGUUUAUGGGGACUUGCAGUGCCCGGAGUAGGUGAAAGCUUUAGACAAAUUGAAAAAAAAAAAAAAGAAAGAAAGAAAGCUGUAGACAAGAAUACAAAAGCUCAGAAGGAAUCUGGAUGAUGGAUUUGCCUUUGAAGAAUUGCCAAGACAAAGGAGGAGUCUGAUAUUUCCAAGAGAGAGCUUAUCUUGGAAUAUGGAACACUCAUACAGCCAUAUUCAGGUGAACUUGCAAGCAAUUUUGGGUACAAAAUCGUAAACCUGUUGACGGUAUUCGUUAAACUAUCCAGUAUGCCAGGUUUUCAUUCUUGUGUUAUUACUGUAUGGAGAAGAAUUUGUGCUGCUUGUAUCAGGCAUGAGCAGAACGUUACCCUCCUUUUUAGUUCGAGGGCAUGCCGAUUUUUUAGUCUAAAUUGAUAUAGCUAUAAUUUAACAUGUCCAUAUGUAAGUUUUAAGAUAAUGUAAUAAGUUUCUGUAGCGGCUCUUUAGUGAUUUUGCAUUUAACUGGACUUAGGCGUUGCAAAAUUUAUUGAUUUGGUAAUUUGGGUUGUAAAGAGAGAGAGAGAGAUCAAACUCCCUAUUCUAGGAAACUUUUAGACGCCCAAGAUAUAAACAGAUGAGUCUCUCAUAUAAUUUUUUCGAUGUAAGUUCACUUGACUGUGCCUUAGCUCUUCUCUCCAUAGACACAUGCGUCUAUUCAACCCAUCAAAUCUGAAGUUUUAAAACUUGAAAAAACCGUCAAACAUUAACUCCUUAAUUCCAAAAAAAAAAUAUGUACUACUUGUUCCCACAAGGCAUCAGAUUGGUAAAAGGCAAAGCAGUGGGCCUAUAAAAUUUGGGCUUCGUAUCGGAUUGGAUAAAAUCUAAAAGAAUUUAGCGUGGGACCUACGUAGUAGGAAACUGAAAGUUACAGUUGUGUAAUAAAAGCAGGACCCAAAGACUUGGCACGUACUGAUCCCGCCGUAUAAAAUGCUGGAAAGAAAGAAAAUCAUCCGAAAGGAGGGAGCACAAAAUCUAUUCUUUUGUUUUGAAGUUACCCGCGAUGGGCAGCCAAAGCGAGAGUAACGCGAAUCGAUCGCAGAUACCUCCUGGGAUGAAGAAGAUUGUCCAGAGUUUGAGAGAAAUUCUUAACCAUAAAUAUACGAACGAUGAAAUCUACUCUGCCCUUCGUAACUGUCACAUGGACCCUUAUGACACCGUUCAGAGACUCCUUUCUCAAGGUUCCUUCUCCUCCUUCUUUUUCUUCUUCUUCUUGUAUUUAUUUUUGUUAGACAAACGAGGAAUUUUGUUUUCUUUUUUCGUUUCGGAGAUUUCAUUUGCCUUUCGGUAUUAAUUUUCUGAGAGAAAAAAAUUGCUCUUCUUUGUACAUACGUGUUGUUUGUUUUCCAAGAAAACUGCGGAACAACGUAAUGUAGCAUUUUUUGUAAGGAUUGUUUGGCCUUUUAGAAGAUUUUGAUUUUGUAAUUCCUCUUGUUAUUAAUAAAACAAUUUUCUGUCUGAUAGCGAGGAAAGAUUGCAGAAAGUCAUAAACAAAUAAAGAAAAACUUUUACGGUUUAUUAUUCCACAUUUGUGCAUCCAACUCUGGACUAGUAGUUUUUCUUACGGCCAAAGGCGUCUAGUUCUUUGCUAAUUCAAUUAUUUUAGAUGUAUUUCUUUUGUAGUUGAAAUAUUUUGCCACUUUUUCUUUAGUUGGUUGUGUCAGUUCUGUCCCCACGCUGAAGCUUUGCCAAUUUCGCCUUAAUUAUCGUAGCAAUUUAAGUAGUAUUUUUAAAUCGUGUAGAUAUUUUUCAUGAAGUGAAGAGCAAACGUGAAAGAAGAAAAGAGGUACACUCUUUAAGAACAACCGCUUAGUUAUAUUUUUCCUCCUUUUUUUUUUUUUUUGUUUUUCUUUCCAUUUUCAAGUAAGUGCCUUUUGAUAUAUCUGAACCCGAUUUUGGAAGGGGAUUAAUUGUUCUAGAAUCUAGAUGAGUGACGGUCAUGCUAUUCUUACUAUAUCUCCUGUACGAUAGAUAAGGUUUCUGUCCAUUUCAUUCUUUUAUACUUUCUUAAUUAAAUAAUAUAAAUUUGUUUCCUACAGAUGAAAGAGACGCAAGAAUCAAGGGCUUGGGGUAGUAAUAAUGGUUAUCAUGGAGUUAAAGCUGAUGCCGAAUAUAAUGUCGAUCAUGCAUCAUCUCAAAUCAGCUACAAUGGUGUGUUCUUACAGUAAAUGUGAAACACUUUUUUGGUCAAUGGAGUUGUGAUUUUGAGUUGGACUUCGUUGUUGCAUAUUCUUACUACAUGAACUUUUAUCCUCCUGGCAGACGACGUUGGUAAAGUUGAAUCUAUGAGAGGGAAUCUGUCCGUUGCUUCUUCUAUAACUUCUUCAUCACCUUUGACUUAUCAUGUGAAAACUACAAAAGAGCCGCCUUCACUUUAUAGGUUAGUUCUAAUAAGAAAACCAUGUUGAUUUUCAUCUGUACUUGUUAACAUGAAUCUAUUUUUGAAACUUCUAGAAUAAACCUAAGGAGAACUCCGCAUCUAUGAGAGGGAAUCUGUCUGUUGCUUCUUCUAUAACUCAUCACCUUACUUAUCAUGUGAAAACUACAAACAAGCAGCCUUCCAUUCACAUGUCAGUUCUAAUAUGAAAACCAUGUUGCUUUUCAUCUCUAUGUCUCUAACAUAAUAUCUCUAUUUUAAAAUUCUAGAAUAAACCUAAGGAGAAAUACAGAUAAUUCACUUGGUUAUAAUUUCUGCAUGCUUUCAAUCGUUUUUAAUUUUACUUAGCCUCUUUGCUAUUGAACAAAUUCGGUGCAAAUCCUACAUAGGUCAUUUAAAUUUCUUUAGAAAGGAAAUUGUCUGAUAAUAAAAUGGUAUGCUAAACAAUGAAGUAAAACAACUACGAAAUCAUCUGUAAUUUAAAAUGUUGCAUUUUAAUUUAGUAGGUAAAAAAAAAUUUUGUACUCUAGCAUAAGCAUCAGAACAUUAGUUGUCUCAUCUAUAAUACAACAUUUCUAAAGAAUGAAGUGCCUCUGUUGUUAAAUUUGUUUAUUUGUUGUUUUUUUUUCCUUGCUGGUGGACAUUUCCAAAGGUAAACUCUCCCCACCUGCCUUUCUUUUGUCGUUUGUGGUCCAAAGAUGCCCAUUGGUCUAGAUUUUCAGCUUUUUAUAUAGCUAGGGAUCUUUCCAAUUUAGUGCAUUACUCCAAUCUGAAGAGUAACAUGGUAUUACAUGCAUGCAUGUGAACAUGCAAAUGGAUGUAUUCUAGAUAUUUUCGUUGUUUUUUUAACUAAUUAUUACAUUUUUCAAAUAAUUUUAUGGGCCCACUUGGGAUUAAGGCUGAGACCUACUUUUGGGAAAAAAAGCUUCUUAAGAUGUUAGAAAAAGCGAUUUGUAGCUGUUGUUUAGCUUUUUUUGGAAUUCUUAUAAUUAAGGUAUUUCAAUUUUAACUUGCAAACAAUUUUUCAAUGGCCUCUAAUUAAUGCAUUUGAGAGGGUGCUUUUCUCAAUGGUAGUGAAAGACAAUAAAUUUACAAAUGUUUCUAGCCCUGUUUUCUUGCUCAUUUGAGGUCAGAAAAAAUCUGACUAGUAAAUUAGGUAUUUAAAUGUCUAGGUCUCUGCUUUGAUCAUGUUAUUUAGAUGUCAGUGUAUGUAUAAGUGAUGCAAGCAUUUGAAGAGAAUGGGGGAAAAGAACAAAUUUGAUCACAUAAGCUGAGAAGGAAAUAAGCUUGUAAUCUACUUUGAUCAUGUUUUAAGUGCCUAGGUCCUCCCUCUCUCUAGUCUAAUGUUUCUUUUCAUCGCUCUUUAAGUUGUGCAUGGUUCAGAAUUGCCAUUUUAAACCAGCAUUUUGAGAUUAUCAACAGAGGAGUAAGAAUUCCUUCUUUUACCAUGAAGUGAAAAGUUAAUUUGCCUGGGAAUUUAUUUGGCUCAAAGUUAUGUGCUGGGGCAAGUAGCUUUCUGCCACCUUAGUUGAUAUGAUGAAACUUCUUCAACUUCUGAGAAGGAUAGAAUUUUCUCUCCGUGCUUGUUUGUUUGUUUAGUUAACAUUCAACCUGUGCAAGUAAUUGAUGACAUAAAAGUGUUCAAUCUUAUUACCGCCUUUGGGUUUAUUUAUUUAUUUAUUAUUGAAUCCGUUGUAUUCAUUUUGAUUGACCUGGAAUUUUUGCUUUGGCAGGUCUUUCAAUGUUGAUAAUGGAAGACAAACUUUUGGAACUGGUGGUUCCAUCUUGUCAUCUGAACAAACUUCUGGCAGAUCGCUGGCUGCUUUGGAUAGUGGUCCUCGUGGGCAUGUUUCUAUGGCUGACAUUGUUAAGAUGGGUAGGCCACAUGUCCAGGGUUCAUCUGUGGCAGCGGAGACAUCUAAUACACUUGAAGAUAUGGAUGCAAGAGACUCAUUGGAUAGUUUUCUUAAACCUUCCCAUGAUUCUUCACCAUCUCCCGCUCCACUAGAACUACACCAAGAUCUGCAAUGUUCACAUCCUGCUAAUCUGUCAAAGUCUGCUUAUCAAUCUGGCACCACCACUACCAGCCAGCACAAUUUUGAUGACAAAUGGCCUGUGAUUGAGCAGCAGGAAUCUGGUGAGUGGAUCAUCUAUCAUAAAUAGUUCAAUUACUUCUGGUGUUGGACGAGGUCCUGAUCAAUCUCACUUUGUUUAAUAUUGGUAUUAAAUUGCCUAAAAAAAUUGCCAAUCUGAGGUGGUCAAAUUAUCAGAGAGGAAUGUAAGCUAAAAUCUAGAUUCGAAUUUUGUUUAAUUUGAUUCUCCAUCUGCAUGAAUGAUGAAGGUAACUUCAAUCUUAUUUGUUUUAUGCUAAGAGUGGUUGUUUAUUCUUAGAAGAACUAUAGAAUUGACAGCUGCAAUAUGAAUGUGUGCAAUGCCAUAUCAAACAUUAUACAGUUUUGCUUCUGUGAUGGUUAACUUUCACCUUAUCAUGGUUUCAUCUCUGAAAAUAUGUUGUUAUUUUACAUGAACUAAUUUAUGUUCUGUUUACAGCAUGGUCCUUACCAUUCGUUCUUAUUUUCUUAUCCCCCAAUUUUAGGUAGAGAAAGCUGCUCUCGUUCAUCUUUUGCAAAUGGCUCUGUACUUCUGAAUGGAAAAGUAUCAUCAACUGCUGCAAACUUGAAGCAGCUAAGUCUGGAGAAAGAGUCCAAAUUAGUGCUGCUACCAGAGGAUGAUCAUCCAUUGGUGUUUCCAAAUGAUAUGCGAGCCUCAGCUGCUGACUGCCAACAUUUGAGUUUUGGUACAUUUAAUUCUGGUUUGCAGCAGCUGAGUCUGGAGAAAGAGUCCAAAUUAGUGCUGCUACCAGAGGAUGACCAUCCAGUGGUGUUUCCAAAUGAUAUGCGAGCCUCAGCUGCUGACUGCCCACAUUUGAGUUUUGGUACAUUUAAUUCUGGUGUGCAUGCUAAAAUUUCUGGGCCAUUGGCCUCAAAACCCUCAAAAAGUAACUUGAAGGAGGUGCCUGCAGUAAUUGAUGGGUCAUCUUCUGUUUGCUUGGACACUAGGCAUGAAUACUUCAGCACAGUUCCUGUCUUACGUUACAGAUUGUAUUGUUGUUCAUAGUAUUUUUAUUUCUUGUGUGCAGAAAUUCAGGGUACUUUGGUGAGUCCCUAUGCAGUAAGCAGGUUGGACUCAUUUCUGAUGCACAUCAAUUAACUGCACAUGUUAGGGAUCAUAACUUGUCUACAUCAUUACAGCCAGAGUUGACAAGGGAAAAUAUUCAUGAGUUCAAUAAUGGGCAUGAUUUUACAUCUGAGAAAUCUGUACCAGACUCUUGUUUCAAAAAUAUCCAAGAGCCCACUACUCCAUGGCCUGUUAUGAUAAGCCCUCAUGCCUCAGAUAUCCCUCCUCUUCAUUGUGAACUGGUAAUAAUAUUAGCUAUGCUGGUGAACUAGUUUCAAAAAGAAUGAAUUUUCUGAGAAUAGGUUCUUUCGUUGAUUAUGGAUGUCAUAUGAAUAAGAAUAGUGCAGAUUCAGAUGUCUGAUUGUGAGUGCUUGCAAGAUUCUUUGUGCAUAAUACUUACAGAUUUUAGGAUAUAGGUCCAAUAUAGAAAGUGGAACUUGAUUUAGUCAGGGUUCAACGCCUUAUCAAUUAAGGGAUGUUGCAUCAUUUAAUAUGGUGCACUUUCUGUUGCAGCAAGCAAGUUCAAUGUCUGUACCUGUUGAUUUGUUGGCAUCAGCUGUCCAAUCUGUGAGAGAUUCAUCGUGCAUGUUACAAGUCACCAAAGUUCAAUAGAUCAUUUAUUACAUACCUUUGUCAUGGGAAUGGUUGAAUUGCCAGUAGAUGAUACAAUAUCACUGUACUUCGGGGUCAAUGACUCAUUUAUUACAUACCUUUGUCAUGGGAAUGGUUGAAUUGCCAGUAGAUGAUACAAUAUCGCUGUACUUUGGGGUCAAUGACCGUGUUCCAGGGAUAGAUGAACAUGCAUUUUAAAGGUGUUGCUUAUUAUGAGAGAGAAAGUAGGUGAAACAAAAAGUAGACAUUACAAAGAUUCUUCCUUUUAAAUGUUUGAAAUUGUUUUUAUGCAUAACCCAAACUGAAUAUGUUUAUCAUAAUGCUUUUUGAUUUCUAUAAACUCCUAUCGCUAAAACAGCAAAAUUUAAUGUUGAGUCAUGUGAUAAUAUUUUACUGCCUAAAUGAUAGAUUACUGAUCCUGUUCUUUUUAAGUAUUAAAAAUUUUGAUUUUCUUUUUCUUUGUUUGUAAUUUUGCAGAUUCUAAAUUCUGGUGCCUUUUCUUUACCGGACUCAUACUCAUCUACUAUGCCCGGUGUGGGUUUCGGUGCAGGUCUGGUGCUUCCCCGGCAUCUGGUGGCACAUUCUUACCCUCGGUCUUCCUCUGGCUACUCUGCUGUUUGUCAAACAUAUCCCUGCACUCCAUCUGCUUUGCAGCAAGCAUAUCAACAUAGCAGUGUAUUUCGUGAUCCCCGGGCAAGAAUGAAGUAUAACCUUCAACCAUCAAAAGAGGUUUUACCUAGGAGUAGCUUGCCUCUGUCUAGUGCAAAUAUUUGCAGUUAUGAAGGUUUGGGGAAUCCCAUCAACUUGUCUGGGAGGUUUCUAAAUGAUUUAUCAACUAUCCCUAACGUAGUUUUGGGGAAUCCUGCCAAUUUUUCUGAGAGAUCUCUGAAUGAUUUACCCACUACCCUUGGUGGGUAUGCAGUUGACUAUAAUGAUUUUCUACGCGGUCAGUGCGAGGAGGAAAAUAAUUUUACUAUGCUUCAACAGGUAAAGGAAGUAGGAUUCUCUCUGGUUUUGCAUUAACGUUCAUUUUAUACUGUUGCAUGCCAGUCCUUUACGAAAAAAACUUUUCUUUGUAGGAUUAUGGACGUGGUUCUAGAACAUCUUCGACUGUUACAGAAAAUGGAUAUUACUGCUUACAAAGACAAAGCCAGCUGCGAUCUACUCAUCAAGAUCAACAGCGCUCACAGAAUUAUGGUGCUCUAGGUUGCAUAAAUGUUUAUCAUUCUCAACAAACAAUAUCACAAGAUGAACAGCUGAAAAGCCUUGGUGAUUCAGCUUUUAGAAGUUCUCAAGGUCCAUCCGAGCAAUUUCAACCAUUCUGGCGGCAUAUCUGGUAAUGGUCGCAGGUCAUCAAAUCCAUUUCUUCAACUUCGGUUGCACGGCUCCUGAGUCUCUUUUUGGUCCUUUUCAGUAGCUGAGUUUGAAAGAGGCAAAUUAGGUCGGUUCACUGUUUAAUUAGAAUGUUAUGGUAGUCAUGAGUCUGGCUCUAAUUGUACACACCUAAAAGAGAUGAGUGUGGCUCUGUCCCAUGCCUCAAUAUUGUAUUAUAUCUUUUUUUCGUAUUGGGGCACGGUUUAGAUGAGUAGCUUGCCAAUGUGAAUUCCUUCAUUUUCAAAAAGCAUUUUGAUUUAAAAAAAAAAAAAAUUAAAAAAGACUACACACAAUCAUCUUGGUCUUUUAAUGUAGCAACACGGAUCAUCCAUUUUUUUGGCUGUCCCGGGAUACGUUUUGAUUACUUAUAGUUGUUUUAUUAUAUUUUUUAGAGAAGUAGCUGAAUCUAAUUUGAAUUACAAUUUUACCUUAGCAGAAUAUAUUUAAACGAGGAAUUAACAUGAGGGAAAUAUCAGUUGGAAAGUAGGCAGUGGGAAUGAUGCAUAAACUACAGUAAUUAACAAGGUUGUUUCUACUUAACCUUCUCCUAAUCCCGUUCAUUCUUUUGGUUUCUUGCAAUAUAAUUAUUAGCAGAAUAUCUAGUACUUAAGCUCUGAUGUCAGAACGCAGUUCAUGUGAACUUGGUCAUUAUUAAAUGGCUGGAGGUGCAGAUUUAACAGUCCCUUCUGUUGGAUCCAAAAGCAUCAUGGAUCCCAACCAGGAAUCAGACAAGGGUAAUUACCAUCAAUCGAGCAUAGAGGCAAUCCUCACCGCUCCUAAGUUGCCAAAGGCAGAGUCAUUUGUUUCGCAGGCACCUGCAGGGCAGACCAUCAAGCGACCUCGUGGGAGGCCUGCAGGCUCAAAAAAUAAGCCAAAGCCACCAAUUAUUGUGACUCGAGAUAGUGCAAAUGCAUUAAGGGCUCAUGCAAUGGAGGUCACCUCAGGCUGUGAUGUGAGUGAGAGUUUAGUUAACUUUGCAAGGAGGAAACAACGUGGAAUCUGUGUACUUAGUGGAAGUGGUUGUGUAGCCAAUGUCACCUUACGACAGCCAACUUCAUCUGGUGCCAUUGUGACACUUCAUGGCCGAUUCGAGAUACUCUCAUUGCUUGGAUCAAUAUUGCCACCGCCUGCUCCACCAGGAAUUGCAGGGCUAACUAUUUAUUUGGCAGGGGCUCAAGGACAGGUAGUUGGUGGGGGAGUAGUUGGCGCACUCAUUGCAUCUGGCCCUGUUGUGAUCAUGGCGACAUCUUUCAUGAAUGCUACUUUCGAUCGUUUGCCAUUGGAUGAGGAUGAAAGUGCUACAAUCGUGCAGAAUCAACAUUAUCAAAAUGGUCGUCAUCACCACCACCAUCACCUGGAUAUUUCAGAUCUCUAUGGCGUACCACAAAAUUUGCUCACCAAUGGUACGUUGCCACCAGAAAUAUACUCGUGGGCACCAGGACGAACAAUGACGAAAUCCUAACUUGUUUAGCUGCAAAUCAUAGUAUAAGCACUUCAAAAUGGGUCUCACUGUCGUUAAGCAUUGUUAUGGCCUUUAGCAUAGAAACCCAUGCAAACAUAUUUAAUAUUUAUAACCAUUUAAUCAAAAUUGUUGUUCUGCAGAAAGUACUUGUAUUAUGUCUCUCCAACAAUUAUCAGUUUCAGAAUCUAUUCUGUUUCCUUUAUUAUCAGUUUCAGAGCAUCCAAUACAUGGUAGAUUUCUUUGGCUUUUGGAUGCAGCCUUCCACCUGCUACAAAUUCAUGAACUUCUCCAUUUACUUCAAUUAAACUACAUCCAGGUUCCUUCUCUAUCUGCUUUUCUUUCAUUGAAAGCCUUUGCUCUAUUGCUUCCUCAAAAUGACUAGAGGCAGCAUAGACAUUAGCCAUUAGUACAAAACUUGAACUUUCACUUGAAUCUAACUCUAUCAAAUGCUUUGCUACUCGAUUUGCCAUCUCUAUAUUUCCAUGCUUGCAACAAGACCAGAGUAAAGAUCCCCAUAUGAUGGCAUCUGGAUCCAUAGGCAUAUUUCUUAUGAGCUCUUCAGCCUCUUCUAGGAGUCCUACUCGGCCUAACACAUCGACCAUACAACUGUAAUGUUUUAUUGAUGGUUUGACCUUAUAUUUCUCUUUCAUUAAGAGGAAAUAAUCCUUGGCUUUGUCCACCAAGCCAGAAUGAUUACAAGCUGUCAAGACACCUAUAAAACUGACAUGAUCUGGUUUCAAAUUUGUAGACUCAAGCACUGAAAAUAAUUGGAUUGCUUCAUUGUCUUGACCAUUCAUUGCUAGACCUAAAAUAGUUGCGUUCCAACAUGAUAAUCCUUUCUUGGGUGCACUCUUGAACACUUGAAGAGCGUCAUUAAUGCUUCCACACUUGGAGUACAUGUCUAUAAUUGCUGUAACAACAAUAGCAUUCAAUUCAAACUUGUUCUUUACCAUAUAAUCAUGGAUCCAUUCUCCUUGCCUAAUUGCUCCUAAGCAAGCACAAGCAUUUAACAAGCUCACCAUUGUAAACUCACUAGGCUUAAUACUUUCUUCUUGCAUUUUACGAAACAUCUCCAAUGCCUCAAUGAAUCUACCAUUUCUCACGUACCCACUAAUCAUUGAAUUCCAAGAAAUCGUAUUCCUCGAUAACAUGUUAUCAAAUAAUCUUCUUGAUUCAUCAAUCAAUCCCCAUUUAGCGAGUGCCAUAAUCAUUAUAUUCCAAGCAACAACAUCAAAAUCUAUACCUCCAGCAAACACCUUUCGUGCCUCACUCAGGAAUCCACUAUUGGCAUACAUAUUCAAGAUAGUGUUUCGAAUAAAGGGAUCAUUAUCAAGUUUCAUUUUGAUCACCCUACCAUGAAGCUGAGCUCCUUCAGAAGCAAGAUUAAGUUGAGCAUAAGCCUUAAAAACUGAAGGAAAGGUCAGUCUUUGAGGUUGAAUUGGCGAAGUGAGCAACAUGUCCAUGAACAAAAAGAUAGCAAUUUGAGGAGUAGAGCUCUGAGAGAAGCCUCUAAUGAUGGUAUUCCAUAUGAAGAGAUUUGGGUUUUGAAUUUGGGUAAAGACUAAGUAAGCAUAGUUGAUGUCGCCGGCCGAAGAGGCGCAAAAGGCUAACAGCCGGCUAGCGGCAAUAGGGUGUUUGGCUAGACCAGUUUUAAUGAGCUGGGCAUGAAGUUUUUGGAGGUCUUUCAUGGUAUUGCAAUUUUGGUCUAGCAUGGAGAGGUAAGUUUGGUGGGAGAUGAACUUGGAAAUGGCAGUUGGUAAUGGAGCAAGGGAACAACACAAGGGCACCAUUUUCUGUGGUUCUCGACUUCUCUCUCACUUUUAUCUUUUUAAUGUGAAAAAUAUAAUAUAAUGUAAUUCUCAUUUUUCAACCAUUCUCAACAUAUAAUAUAUAUAUAUAUAUAUNNNNNNNNNNNNNNNNNNNNNNNNNNNNNNNNNNNNNNNNNNNNNUAUAUAUAUAUAUAUAUAUAUAUUAAAAAUUAACAGAAAUAGAUGAUAUUAUAUAUAAUUUAUUAGACCAUUUGAUUUUUAUUUUAAGAUUAAUAAGUUGUUUUUUUUAUAAUUCCUAUUAAACUAUAUCUAUUAAUUAGAAAAGUAAAAGAUUAGGAUAACAAACAAAAUAUACUCUCGUAAUUUCAGAAAAAUAUUUUUUAAAAUUAUAGAUUAAUUGAUUUUAAUGAUUAUAAAUUUAUUUAUUAAUAUCUAAUAUAUACUAAAAAACUCACCAACGAUAAGAAUAAUUUUAAUGGAGUACUAUAAAUAUAUGAUAUAUUCAAAAAUUAACUGAAAUUUUUUACUUUAGUUAUAUUAAAUUAUAAAACGAAGCAGAGAUAAAAAGUCGUUAAUAAAAGAUGGCUUCACCGGCAGCACUGCAAAGGUCUCCACUUCCUUCUUCCACCACUCCCUCGUCUACGGCAUCCCCUUUCCAACGCCUCUCUACCUUAAAAAAUCCCUCCUCUUCCUCCCCUCUUCUACUCACCGCCACCGCUGCUUCCCCCUUAGAUUCCUUUGCCAAGGACCCUAUUCUCUCCCCUUUUCUCUCUCCUUCCUUCUCAUCCACUUCCUUCUCCUCUGCCGCCCUUUCUUCUGGCUCCCCCGCCUCCACUGCCGAACAUCUCCACCAUGCCAUCCGUCUCCUCGAAUCUCAACUCCGCACUGAAGUCCUAUCUCGUCACACCGAACUCCUCAACCAAUUAUCAUCUCUCAAGCAUGCUGAACAUGCUCUCUCCACCGUUCGAUCUGCUGUAUCCUCCCUUCAGUCAUCUGUCCGCCGUGUACGAUCGGAGCUUUCCAAACCCCACACGUCCAUACUGUCCAAAACCAUUCAACUCUCCAAUCUCCAUUCUACCGCGGAGUUUUUGCAACACAUGAUCCGUGCUUUCCGACUCUCUAAGAAGCUCCGUGAUCUGAUAUCGGCAUCGGAGUCAGGGCCCGAGAAGCUGGAUCUGGCCAAGGCAGCGCAGCUCCAUUGUGAGAUUUUGAAUAUGUGCAAUGAAUAUGACUUGAUGGGGAUUGAUUGCAUAGACGAAGAGCUCAAUCGGGUUAAAGAAAUUGGCGAAAGAUUGCGAGACGAGGCAAUGAAAGUUCUGGAGAGAGGAAUGGAGGGACUGAAUCAAGCUGAAGUUGGUACAGGAUUGCAAGUGUUCUAUAAUUUGGGAGAGCUAAAGGUUACUGUGGAACAGCUGGUGAAUAAGUACAAGGGAAUUGGGGUGAAGAGUGUGAGUGUGGCGUUGGAUAUGAAAGCCAUCUCUGCUGGAGGUGGCGGUGGUGGAUAUGGGCCAGGAGGGAUAAGAGGGAGCGGAACACCGCAAAUUGGAGGAGGGGCGAGGGCCAGAGAAGAGCUCUGGCAGAGGAUGGGAACGUGUAUGGAUAAAUUGCACUCCGUAGUGGUUGCUGUCUGGCAUUUGCAGAGGGUCUUGUCCAAAAAAAGAGAUCCGUUUACGUAUGUCUUGUUGCUUGAUGAAGUUAUCAAGGUGAGAGGGGCUUUUUUUUUUUUUUUUUCUUGUUUCGCUUUAAACUAAUUUUCAUCCUUUUUCUUUCCUGAGAAAAGCUUGGAAAUUUGAGGGACUCAAUUUAAAAGUUGAAGCUUGAGAAAAUGAGACUGCUUUCAACUAAGAAUGAUACACUUGUAUAGGUUAUUCUAAAUAAAUUGGGAAAGACCAGAGAAUAUUAUAUACGCACAUACACACUUUUAAACUGAAGCAACUGAAAUAUUAGCUUGCUUUAUUGGGUUCCAAGAAAUCAAACACUUGUAACAUUGCUAUCUUAGGCUGCUGCGUGGUAGCAUUCUAGUCCUUCCAUUUCACAUGAUUUAGUUACUAAAACUAUCAAACAAAUGCAUCGUUAUCGUAGUGUUUAAACUUGCUUUGGGGUGCAAAAGCAGAUUGCAAAAUCAGGUAGCUGCCUGAAAGCACAUUAGAUUGUAUUUUAAUUAGACUAAGAUUUUGAUUUCAUUUUCUUUGAAGCUGAUAUAUGGGAACAUGAAAUUUUUAAAUUCCUGGCUUUGAAGGCGUAUCUUCCACUAUCUCUGCUCUUUCAUCUUCAAUGCUCUCUUAUUUCCUUUUUAAUUGUCUUGAUUGAACUCAAACUAGGUUCCCUGCAUAAAAUUAUUAUUUUGCUCUAUGCUCAGUAAUUUUCAGCCUCAAUUUCUCUUUAUGCUUAAUUCAGCAUUUAUUCACUUAGGAAGGUGAUUCCAUGUUGACCGAUCGAGUUUGGGAGGCACUUGUGAAAGCUUUUGGAAGCCAACUGAAGUCUGCUUUCACCGCAUCAAGUUUUGUUAAGGAGAUAUUUACUGUGGGAUAUCCAAAGCUCUUCUCACUGAUAGAGAAUCUGUUAGAAAGGAUCUCACGAGAUACAGAUGUCAAAGGGGUUUUGCCAGCCAUCAGCUUGGAAGGGAAAGAACAGAUGGUUCAAGCUAUUGAGAUUUUCCAGACAUCUUUCUUGGCUUUGUGUUUAAGUGGCCUUUCAGAUCUUGUAAAUACUGUUUUCCCAGUGUCUAGCCGAGGAAGUGUUCCCUCCAAAGAACAAAUCUCUCGAAUUAUAUCACGCAUUCAGGAAGAAAUUGAAGCUGUUCAGUUGGAUGGGCGUUUGACUCUUCUUGUUUUGCGUGUAAUUGGCAAGGCUUUGCUUCUGCUUGCAGAACGAGCUGAAUACCAGGUAUUCUGGCAGAAAAAUAUGUUACUCCUUUUCAGUUUUUCUUUUCUUCCUUUUUCCCUUUCUUUUCUUGCCCCUUCUUAUUUAUGGCGAUAUUUUGGGCUUGCAUGUGUGGAGUAUUUCCUUAUAUGACACAAAAAUAAUCUACUGGUAUAUACUACUCAAAAGUCAGAAUGAUAGUAGGAUACAAUUUACCACAUUUCCAUGCUCUGUUCUACCCUUUUCUUUUUUGACAUUUCUUUUUUGUUGAUAUUGCUGCAUAGCACUUUCCUUCAAAAUUAUUAUCCUGUUAUUCUUGCCAUUGGAUGUUCUAUUGAUAUUGUUACGUACUUACCUUCAUUUGUUACUAGAGUCCAUAGGAUGGCCAACUUAUGAUGCAAUAUGGAUUGAUGCUUGAAAGUCCAGAGUCAAGGAACUCUUAUUUAUUCUCUUAGUCACAAUCCUUGCACAAUGCACUAAUAUGAUUUUAAACUUUUCUCUGUAGUAUUCUUAUAGCAUUCACUGUACAUUUAUUUCUAUAAAUUGCACCUGAAUGGCAGAUCUCUGCUGGUCAUGAGGCUCGCCAAAUUAUGGAUCCAGCAACUCCAGUACAAGUCAAGAACUUUGCAUUAUGUCAGCAUCUACAAGAAGUUCACACACGCGUAUCAUCUAUGAUUGUUGGACUGCCCACUAUAGCUGCAGAUGUAUUAUCUCUCUCACUGGGUGCAAUUUAUGGGGUUGCUCGUGAUUCAGUCACACCUUUGUUCAAAGCAAUGGUUGACUGUCUAGAGUCAUGCAUCUUGCAAAUGCAUGAACAAAACUUCAGUUGUCCUGGCAUGGAUGCUGCAAUGGACAAUAAUGCUUCCCCUUACAUGGAGGAGUUACAGAAGUGCAUUCUUCACUUUCGUAGUGAGUUCUUGUCGCGGCUGUUACCACCUUCUGCAAAUAGCACAGCUGCGGGAGCAGAAACUAUGUGCACCCAGCUUGUACGAAGCAUGGCAUCACGGGUUUUAGUAUUCUUUAUUAGGCAUGCUUCUCUUGUAAGACCUCUUUCAGAAUCAGGUAAACUCAGAAUGGCUAGAGACAUGGCUGAGCUGGAGUUAGCUGUAGGCCAAAACUUGUUCCCAGUUGAACAACUCGGUCCACCCUACAGAGCUCUCCGAGCAUUUCGGCCUCUUAUUUUCUUGGAGACGUCUCAACUGGAAGCAUCCCCUCUUCUUCAAGAUCUGCCGCCAAGUGUCAUACUGCAUCACCUUUACUCCCGAGGCCCUGAUGAAUUACAGUCUCCUUUGCAAAGAAACAAACUUACACCUUUGCAGUAUUCAUUGUGGCUAGAUUCUCAAGUUGAGAAUCAGAUUUGGAAAGGUAUUAAAGCCACACUUGAUGAUUAUGCUGUGAAAGUUAGAUCCAGGGGAGACAAGGAAUUUAGCCCUGUGUACCCUCUUAUGCUUCAGUUAGGAUCCUCUUUGACGGAGAAUGCUCCUGUGUCCCAAAAGCCUUAAAUUCUUGUACGUCUCUUUUAACGCCAGAAAGUUAAAAUCCCCCUGCCUGAUGAUUUUUGCCUGCAUCGUAAGUGUACAGGACAGUCAUGAUGAAGCCACAUAGAGAGUUGAGCAAAUUUUCCAUUUAAGGUAUACGUUUUCUUUGGGUUUCAGUUUUGUCUUCAUUUUUUUUUAAUAACUGAAGUGUUUCUUCAGCUUGUCUCCCUCAAAAAAUAGAGUUGAUCUCAUUUAAUUGGUUAAAUUUUCUUUUACCGAGUGUUCUACAAUACAUUGUUGCACAUUUCUGUCACCAUCAACCCAGCAAAACAAUACCUGGACCAAGGAAUAAUUCUGAAGAGAUGCAAAAGUUCUAGUAAUCACUACCGGAAGGAGAAGAAAAUAAAUGAAGAAAAUAAAAAAUAAAGAAGUGAAGAAUAUCUUUUUCAUCAUUAAGAAGGCUAAAGUUUUUUAAUUAAUUUAUUUAUGCACUUUGAUUUUCUUCAUCAAAAUUAUAGAUAGUAAUCUUCUACUUCAUUUAAGUUCAAUUGUGAAAAAAUAAAAAUAAAAUCCUAAUUAGACCCUUAAAUUGAUAUUGAAUUCCAACCCAGGUGGAUAUGGGCUACAAUAUUUAUGGAUAAAAAGAAAAACUAUCAGAUUUUAGCAGUUUAGAAGAGGUCUGUCUUUAAAUUAGUGAUGGACAAUUAUCUAUUUUUUAUUUUUUAUUCAUAAAAAUAUGAAUAAUUGAUUUUUUUUAUUUUUUUUUGGUGGGAAACUCAGCUGUCUUUCAUCAUGAACAAAAUGCGACAACUUGUAAAUAGGUCCGUUGUCUUAGAAGCCACUUUAUUCUUAAUAAAGAAGAAAGAAUCAAAGUGUUAAAAAGCCACUCCCUUUUCUCGAUGAUAAGCUUAGCAAAUGCAAAGAAAUCAAAUGGUAAGAAGAAGGGAGGAAGAGAAGAUUUCAAGACUGGAAAAUCAAGGAGCAUAGGUGGCUAUGGCAGAAGAGGAAGCACACCCAUAUGCUUUUCACGUUUCUGGGCCUCGAAAUGUGGCUUCUCUCAAUUGGAGAGACCUUAUCAAUUCCAAUUGGUUAGCAUACGCUUUCCCAUCUUAUCUUUGUUUCAAAUUUCCCAAUUAUUUGAUCCAUUAGCUACUCAGAAAUAAACGAUUUCAAGUAGGAACAAAAAAAGCCAGUUUUUGGGUUUCGAGAUAUGUAUAGGAACAGACGAUCUAUUUAAAAUCAGUAUAUGGGUUUAUUUGGGGUUCGAAAUCAGAACACUAUAAAAGAAGCUUUGGGUCCUAGAUAAGGAAGCCGGUACGUUGAAUUCAAUAGAUCUGGCUGAUCAGGGCUUGCACAUUCUAACUAAGAUCUGGGUGCUUUUUAUUUUGUUUGAUUUAACGUUUGAAUUUCUUCAAACAAUGAUAUAAACAAGAUAAGUGAAACGUCAGCAUUUAACAUGUCCUCUUUUUCCAAUUUUUGUCUAAGCUUGCACUAGUCUCGAGUUCCAUUCUAAAUUAUGCUGUGUUUCCUUUGCUCUUUUUCAGUUCAUUAUAUAGGCACAUUUAGAAUUUUCCUUCUGCGAUUAAAUAACGCAAUCAUCAGUGUUAUUACUAGAAUUAUCUUUCUAAAUGUUAUGAAGUCAAUAAUCGCAUGUGAUAGAUCACGCCUUGCCAUCGAUCUGGAUUGAAAUUUGUCUGGGGUUUCAUCUUUUACAUUAAUAUUCUACAGUUAAUGAACUAUGGAUGAACAUUCUGAUUUCUGAAGUUUAUAUAAUCUUUCAUAGUUUUCUUUUACUAACACCCAUGAUCAUAUGUUUCAAAAGAUCUUGUAACUUGAUUUUGUUCUCCGUGACCUUGAGUCUUGUUUUGGUGCCACUGGAUUUUUAGGUGCCAGUCAGCCAGCGGAAUUAGAAAAGAGCAAAACCUCUAGCAGUCUAGCUAGUUCCGCUAAUUUUGAAUUAGGAUGAAAUGUUAGAUCUUUUUGGUAUUUUUCAAUGAGAAUAUUCUUUCACUCCUACAAAGAUUUGCUUACAUUGAUGUGAAAAUGUAUCCGUACCCAUGCAUAUCUAUGCAGAUGACAAGUCUGUGAAUUAUUCCUACAUACAGGAAGAAUGAGAACUACAAGAGAACUGUAAUUGCCUGCUUUGUUCAAGCAGUCUACUUGCUUGAGCUUGACAGACAAGAGAACAGAACACAAGAGAAUGCCCUUGCUCCAAUGUGGUGGCUGCGCUUCAAGUACAAACUGACCCAAAAGUUAAUUGAUGAAAGAGAUGGAUCAAUAUUUGGUGCAGUGUUAGAAUGGGACAGAUCUGCAGCAUUUGCAGAUAUGAUACUCAUCAGACCUAGUGGAGCACCCAAGGCUGUUUUAGCACUCCGAGGAACACUACUCAAAAGCUCGACAAUCCGAAGGGAUAUAGAGGAUGACCUUCGUUUCCUUGCUUGUGAAAGCUUGAAGGGUUCUGUUAGAUUCAAAGUAGCACUGGAAGCAUUAAAAUCAGUUGCUGAAAGCCAUGGAAGGUGCAAUGUCUGCAUUGCAGGCCAUUCCUUGGGUGCUGGCUUUGCUCUCCAAGUGGGAAAAUCAUUAGCUAAAGAAGGCAUAUAUGUGGAAGCCCAUUUGUUCAAUCCUCCCUCAAUUUCUAUAGCCAUAAGCUUGAGGAAUAUUGGGGAAAAAGCCGAAUUUGCUUGGAAGAAAUUUAAAGUAAUGCUUCCUUCAAAUAGUGAAUCUCAGGCCACCGACGAUUUGGGGGACAAAACUUCUGUAGCAUUGGAAAAAUGGGUACCGCAUCUAUACGUGAAUGAUAGCGAUUACAUUUCUUGCUGUUACACUGACCCUGAUGGAUCUAAAGAUAAAAAUGCUAAUAUGGAGAAUAUAGGUCAUACAAAUAUUACAAAUGGACAGGUUGCAGCCAAGUUGUUUGUCAUGUCUAAAGGAAAACAAAAGUUUCUGGAGGCUCAUGGCUUAGAACAAUGGUGGUCUGAUGAUAUGCAACUUCAGAUGGCUCUCCAUGACAGCAAGCUUAUAAGCAGGCAGCUGAAAUCCUUGUACAACCUCCCAGCUUCUCAACCAACGCAAGUGCCGGAAUGACACUAGCUGGUGGUGGUUCAUUGUUUUUGCUAAAUAACUCAUUUCAAUACUGAAAUAUUCGUACUACCGUUAUGGUGUUUGGAUUUUGUAUCUGCUACCGAUUUGGAGAGGGUAAUUCAUAUCUUAUUGCCUGUAAGAUUGGGGAGAAGCCUUGUUCUUCUACUCAAUAAAUGUUCCCUUGCCUCGUCUAUGUUUCUCGAUUAUUCUUUAUUCUUCAUCCUUAAUGCUUUUCUUGAAAAAACAAUAAUAAUAAUAAUAAAUAAUAUUAUGGAAUGUCUUCUAAAUGAUCAAGUCUAAUAGUAUAAUGGGAUCCACCAACUUGGGACGAAGCGGAUUAUCAACACCAGAUUUCAGACAUUCAAAGCGGAUUCGCAGCUCCAAGUCCCUGGAAGAAGAAGACUGCAGGUCAUUAAGUUUCAAAGUUAUAGUUCAAAAUUCCAUUCGCAACUUCUACGGCCGAGUAAUUAUGAGCAUUUUGAUCUUACCUAAAUUACAGUUGGAUGGGGUAGCAAAUAUGGGAAUUCACCCCAUGCAGCUUCAAAAGGCGACAAAAAUAAUAAUGGCAGGCACCACUGAUGUGCAUUUGCAUUUCAUUUCAAGUAAUAUAUUUUUGCAUCUCUUAUUGUAAUAUAAUAUUUAUUCAGACUCAACGGAAUGUACAACUUUGGUAUAACAAUCUUGAUAUCUUACGAGACGGACUACACUCUUUCACACUUAAAUGAGCUCUCCUCUUGCUGACUCUCAGAAAGCUUCACAGCCAAAUGAAUUGAACAAGCAAAACGAGACACCGCAAUAUGGGGAUGAUUCAUCUCGAAUUCUUAAUUCCCUUCCAUCUAAUUCUUAAAAUAAAAAUGAUCGCAGUUUCAUUGUUUAGUAUUAUCAAUAGGUGCUAACGUCUACGAUUAUUAAUUAUAUUUUCUAAAAAAAUAAUAAUUGAGCAUAAUUCACCCUUUAAAAACUGUAAUCAAGUAUUGGGGGUAGAAAAACUAAGUAUAAACACCAAGAUUCACGACUUGAGGAAUGGGAGCGUUUCAUCAAACAUGAAAGCAUCAGAAAGCAGAGAUUCAGAUUGAAGCUAAAGGUAUGACUGCACAAACCAAGCACCCGCAGGGAAGCUCAUCUUGGAAAUUAACCUAAUAAUAAGCUCAUCAUAUAUUAUGCACACAUAAAAGAAAGUACCAAUAUGAAGAAAAGAUGCAUAUUAGACUAUGAAACGCCUUGGAAGGACAACCGAUCUCGGAGAGUAUCAAAAAUUGAUGAUGCUGCCGUGUUCUGUGCAAAACUCAAUUUCAAUCGCCCAAGCAGUUCCCCGUCUUUUGCUUGAGAAGCAGCAUCCGCUGCUUCCUUAGCCAUGCCAAUCCGUGCAAAAGCCUGAGAAAAUUGAGAUGUUUCAAAUAAAGCAGUACAGAGUAUAGACUAAAAAUAAAUAAAUAAAUAAAUAUGAAAGAGAAGAUUAUUACCUCAGCUCUUUCUCUAGGAUCUGCAAGUUUUGGAAUAUAUUUCAGAGCUUCACUUUUUUCAUCAGCAUCAAUGCAUGCCUCCACAAAUGGUCUAUAACCUAUUUGAUGCCAAAAAUAAAUCAUAAAUACAUCAUUACAAAAUAGGAAAUAUAUAUUUGAUACAUGCUAAUGUUAUGAAUGCAAGCAGAGUAAUUGGGUUGCUGAACAGAGUAGACAUCAAAUUUCUUCAAUGCAACUCUAACUUUAGAUGUAAUCAUCAUGCGCAAAUUUGCUAAGAGGCGGUGAACCACAACACUUGAUGCUCGCUCUAACGAGUAAACUUGCCUGAAAUGGCGGAGUAGGCUCCCUAAGCAUGGCUGCCUUGUUGAUUUUUCAGGUGAAGUGGUCCACUGGAGUCUUAGCAAUUUUGGCUAUGAUGACUAAAUUUGCAGGCGACGUUGAAUUUUAGUGAUUGAGGUUUUAAGUUAUUCAGGCUGUUUAUUCAAUAUAAAAAUACUAAAUAAAAAGGCAGCAGAUAUCAAUUGACACAGUGAUGUACUAGCCGUAUUUGCUUCUCUACAGUAUCCUUGGGAAGAUUAUAUGAUAGAUUUUACCAAUUGGUGGCCUCUUCUCCUUAGAAAACUUUUCCAGGGCAUCCCAAUCUCUAAUUGUUGCCAAAGCGAAAACUUUAAGCCAAUACCAUCGCUUCUCAGAAACCUGAAGGAGUUUAUAUCAAGAAAAUGAAGAUGAGAUUGCAACUGAAAUGAAUAGAAUAAAUAUGAAUGGACCAAUUUCUUUGUUCAUCUCCUGUUAAGGCAAUGUAAAAGAGCUUCGCAGACCUUAAACUCUGUUUUCACUUUCAUUGCAGCUCGAUGAUUUCCUAAUACAAUGCAUGUCCUAAUAGUGUCACUGAUACUUGAAUCAACAAAAAUAGCCUGCUUUGUAGAGACUUCUAACUCGUGUUGAAUUCUGCAAAAGUUGCAAGUAAUCAGCAAUGCAAUUAUAAAAGAAAAAAGCUGAAAAGAAAUAGCAAGCAAAUUCAUGAACAAAGGGCAAUAUAUAUAUAUAUAUAUAUAUAUAUUAAUGAAUGAAGGUAAUGAGGUGAAAUAUAGAUGAAGUCAGAACAAAUGAAAGCAGUAUACUCUAGCUGUCUAGCAAUACAGUUUCCACUGACAUGGUGAUCUGAAAGUUUAUGAGAUCCAUUUAUCUUGAAAUCACCAUCACCAUAUAAAAAUUCAUAGUAACAGUGGAAAACAUUUAGUGUAGAGGGAACAAAACCAUUAUGCAUGCAUAAGAAUAACACGUUCUGCUUAUUACCUCCCAUAAUUAAGUGCACUGAAAAAUAAAUAUGCAAUUGGUAAGGAAGAAACAUAACCUUAGCUUAACGCAUUUGUAUUUUAGUAGCUUUGGAAUCCUUUUCAUUUUUACCAUUUAAGAACUUGUGAUUUUCAAACAUCAUCCCUUUCUUACCACAUUUAGAUAAUACCAUUGGAAUAUCACUCAUAUAGCUCCAUCAUUGGCAUAAAUAAUACUUAAGUUCGAGUAUUAUACAUGUGGCACCAUCAAAUAGUAUCUCACUAAUGUCACAUGUUAAAGUCCUCUUUUGUUCUGAAAUUAAAGUUGUUAGGCAAAGAAAAAAAGGAAAGUUAUUUUUUUGGGAUCAAAUGAAAAUAUUGAUAAUAGAACAUUUUGUUUUACAUUAUGACUCACAGUGCGACAUAUAGGUACCAUAUACACAUCAUUUUGGAAUCAGCCAAACAGCAUUUAAGUGAAAACAUAACAAACAAAAGAUGAGGUAUUAAAAUGAUAUAUAUAUACUUUUGAAAUAAAAAUAAAAAAACCACAAUCCUGAAGUGAAAAAGUGCCAACAAUGGGAGGUUUUUAACUUCUUCCCUUUUUUAUUACUUUUUCCUACUUUCUGAUAAGAAUAGAUAAUCAAUACUUCACAUUUCACAUUCACCUACCUGAUGUAUAAAAAUGCACAAAUUUUUGCAACACUAAGUUCAUUUAACUUUACAGAAUAGAAAGAGUCUAAAAGAAAUAAUUGGUUUAUCACAACAACUGGUGAAAUCCAAAAAUUGUUGGCAUCUCCUACCUUAACAAUUUUGCGUGCUCCUCAGCAGCUUUUGACUCAAAUAUAUGUUCCUUAGUCUCUGAGAAAAGGCUUUGGGCCUUCUCAAUAAGCUUUAUGCGCGGACCAUGAAGAGGAGAUCCUUUACUUGCCAUUGGAUUUUUUCCAAGUUCCCAUGAUUCUUUCCACAAAAGAAAAGCUACGUCCUAGAAAACCAUAAUAAUUGCACAUUAGGACAAAAUGUCACAGAAACAGAGCAAUGAACUGAAAAUUCAUAAGAUAUUCAAUCAUUCUGCAAAGUAACUGAAUUAAUUUGGUAAUAAUAUGUAAAAUUAAGCAUUAACGACAAAAAUACAUGCCAUUUGCGUUAGCUACUUUUAGCUUAGAAUUAGCAACAAUCUCCCCUUCUCCCCCACAAGAUAAAUGUCGCAAAUUCUGCAAAUGCUCAGAACCUAUCCAGUGUCCAGCGCACAUGCCAAACUGUAGGACCAUUUUACACUAGAAACUGAGGUAUAUUAAGGUUUCAUAUUCCAUCAACAAUCCCUUGACUUUUUUUGUUUGAAAGAACAAUCCCUGGACUUAGAUCCUAAAAAAUGGGAAUGUUGUGAAUACUUCCACAUUUCAGUAUCAAAUAUGACAAAGUGCAUUAAAACAAAUUACCAUGCUAAAAUAAAUUAUAUAUUUUAAUUAUUCCCUUGCUUGAGCAUCUUAUAUGGGGAAUAUCUAACCACCACCAGAAAUCCCUUUAUCACAUAAAGCAACAUUUGAAACCAACCUGUUAAUCCUUACUUUCUUACAAGAUAUCAAAAAUAAAAACAUAUUAUUAGCUAUCAUUGAACAAUUUACACUUACUUGAAGCUGCCCAGUUGAUAGGAAGAAGUCCUUCAAGAAUUCAUGUUUGUAACUCCUGAGACAAAAUCACACCAAAGGGUAAGAUGCAUUUAAAUAAAUAUCUGAAAAAUUAUGUAUAUACAUUAAAAAAAUAAGAAGAAGAAGAAGAAGAGGGGGGAGAUACUAGAUAGCAAAGCUUCCAUGAUGAACAUAGGUUUUAAUAGAAAAGAAAAGUAUGCAUCAGGGAAAACUCCCUAAAUUCCUGUAGGUUUUGAUACACUAUAUCAACCCCUCUUUUAUUCAUCAGCAAGACAAAAGGUUCUAAAUCAAGGUCAUAGUUUUGACUGUUUCAGGAUGCCAGAAUCAAAAUUGUAACUGUUACAGAUCAUGCCAUUCCAAUACCCAAUAUUUCUCAAAAAGCAGUAAAAACUAUAGUUUAACAAAUUUUUUACUGAAUAUACAUUUGACUGUUCUCAACCAUAGUUAUUAAAGCACAAGGUGCAUCAUGACCCAAAUUCUACAGCUCUAAAAUCUCUUCUUCGUGAAAAAAUAAAAACCAUCCUCCCUCCAUAAUUCACAUCUACCUAUCAACUUCACUCCCAAAAUAAUAUUUAUUCGGUCAAAACAUCCAUUACCAGCUUCCUUUGCCUUUGCCUCACUUGCACCUGCACUAAAGCUAGAAGAAUCCCAAAUGCCUCAAAUGCACUAGAAACAAUUGAUUGCUACAUUUUUUUCAUUCAUUUUCCAGUUAGAGUACUUAGCACAAAGGAGAAGGAAAAAAAUAACUUAGGAAAACAAGAAGGAAAAAUAAACUACUUCAGUGUUGCACUUACCGUGCAUAGGUUACAAACAAAUCGCGUGCAAUGGGUCUGGCUUGUAUUGUUCCAAAGAACUCCAAGGCAGGCCUCUGCAUCAUGUAUAAGCAUAUGUUAGAAAAAAAAAGUUAUUAAUCAAUAAGAACAUUUUACCCACACAAUGCAGGCAUCAAGAAGCUCGAAGGAAAAAAGAAUGCCUGAAAUACAUUUAGAAUUAUGCUCCAGGCAUAAUAAUAGAAUAUGAGAUGUUAUAGAACACUUUACAGUCUUUUGAUAGUUUUAUUUCUGUCUCUCCAAAUAAAAGUUAUCUUGCUUUAUAGUAUUUUAAGUUGAGGUAUUUCAGUAAUUUCCAGCUUUAGAGAAACAACAGGCUGGAUGCCCUUUAGGAGUAUUUAUUUUUAUUUUUGAGUCUUGAUAUGAGUGAUUAUUGGUUAAGGAAAAUAUUUUUCCUUUUAGUUCUCUUUGGAGUUAAAUCAUUGAAGCUAUUUGCUGUUCAUGGAUACUGUUCACUGCACCUUAGCUACACUGCAAACAGUCCCUACAAUAUGUUUUUCCUUACAUUUUGCCAUGUAGGUACUCUUGGUUACGACCUAAAAUUAGAAAAAUUGUUUAACAAAGCCUAAAAAACGUCUUUGAAGCUGUUCCACAUCAUGAUGCCCCAAGUAUUACCUUGAUCAACAAGAAAGACAAAAACCUUACUGUGAUAAUUUGAAAGCAAUACCUUUAGCCAUAUGUGAAAUAGGACAAGGUAAACAAGGUCAGCAUCACCACUUUCAGUUGCCUUUGUCAAGGCUGUAUCUUCUUCUCCAAUGCUUAACAAGAGAGGAAUCUGAAGUGGAAUCAUAAUCAAUCAAUCAACCAAUCAACUAUGUUAUGCAUGCAUUGAACUUUUCUGAAAAUGUUGUAACUUUCACUUCAAAAUGGUAGAAAUAACAAAUUUGCUAUAUAAUAUAAAUAAACCUGUUUGGAGGAGCGCGAUUCAUAUUCAACAAGCAUAGCAGCCAGCUUCCGCCAGCCACUCUUAUCAGCAUGGGCAGCAACUGCUGCAUAAGAUAUGCCCUUGCAUAUUUUCAGCUGCAACUCAAAUGGAAUUGCAUCAGACAUUGCAUGAUAUGGAGAAAAAGGUAAAACACACUAACAUUAUUGAACAAGCCAAGGGUUUUCAUGUUUCCAAACAACUAUCAGAGUAAGUGCAAACCUUAUCAAGCAAGAUUUCAAGGAGAGCUGCAUCAGGAAUGGCUAAUGAAGCUGUUAUCUUUGAACAAGCCCAAUGCAUUAUCACCACCUCCUAUACAAAGUAAUGAGGAAAACAAGAGGAUAAAACAAUUUAGGAAUAGUUAUUUUAAUCUUCAAUCCCAUAACACAUAAGCUAUCAAAAUAAAAUUAAAAAAUAAAAAUAAAAACACAUGGGGAUAUGUGCACAAACAAUAAACAUAAAGAACCUCAUAUUGUGAAUUGACACUAUAUCCUACAACAGUGCCCAUUAUUCAUAAUCUCACCAUCCCCCUUUGAUAACAUUAAAUGAGAAUUUAGGCUUACGAGCUUCUAAGAUAUCAUAAGCUGAAUAUAAAAGGCCCAUUAGACAUUUUACAUUAUCUUUGAUGUUACUAACAAGAGAACCUAGGACACAAUUGUAUUUUAUGUUACAACACAUUUACUAGACACUAAACAACACCAGUUUCAAAAUCACCACCCUUGCGCAACCAUCAUGUGCUGACUACUACUUUUUACCUCCAGAAGCUCUUUCACCUCUUCAUCAUCCUCUUUUUCCAAAUAUAUUUAUAGUUGACUACUUCCACAACAUAAAUUAAUUCCAUCUACCACUCACACCAAUUUAUCAAUUAUCAUGCUGGGUCAUCUAUGAUAUAUGCUAAUUUCCACUUGAAUAACUUGGGGUAAGAAUACCAUGUCAAGACAUGCAUUUAGGCAGACACUUUUGUGCACAACAUUCCCAUACUGCCAUAAUAUGCAUCAUAUCCUUUAUAUUUCAACAAUUCCAGCAACAACAAUCAGUGUUUGAAGCCUUUUCCCUAAUUCAAGCUAAGUUCCAAAAUUAUAAUGUAUUGAGAUUUUAAUGACUCCUGUUUCUUCAUCUGGUGCAGACUUGCAGUGGUUGACACCACUUCUUCUUCAAAUUCACUGUAGUUUAUAUUGGUAAAGGGAAGCUAACAGUUAAGUGGGAGCUUAAUCCUGCUAGUUAUACGCGGUAACUAAUGUAUAUCUCGCAAGUUCCGGGUUUUAAGACUUCAAUCCAACUUGUGCUUAACAAUCACCAUCAAAUUUCUAUUUGUCUAAUGAAAUAUCUACAACCACUUGAUUACUAUAAUUAAUUUCACAAAUCCGCAAGAUACAUGUUUGAAGAUCAAAUUACUAGUGGCUUCUUCAAUAAUAAUGCAACCUAUUUGACUCUCCUUUUUCUCCCCUUCUUGACUUCAACAUUUGAUUAAUUUGCUCUAAGCAUUGAAAGUGGGUUAACAUGUCUAAGUGAAAAGGCCAAAGUGAAGAGUUCUGCACUAACAUUUUAAUAACAAAUAUUAGGUACAAGUUUGAAGAAAUUAAUAACAAUUCAAAAAGUGUGCAAGUGUGUGUGCGUGCGUAUGUGUGAUGUGGUUGCUUUAAGAGAAAUCAAAAGUUGGAUCCAAUCAUGGGUACAGUUUAAGGCUGAGAUCUGAUCAAUAUACAGAUCAAGUUAGGCCAUUUGAUAAACUAUUGAAAUUCUUAAAAUUAAUAAUAAUUGGCCAAGGAGAAUAACACCUAUGAUGCUAAAAACAAUAAUGAUGGUCGAUCAAAACUUACUUGAUUCAUCCCAAGGUACUCUGAUAGUCGUAGUGCAAGAAGGUGUUGGUUAGCAUUAAUCAAACGACCAAUCAGAACAGGUGCUGUAAGUGACUGAAGAAAAGAAUUUACUCAGCAUAGGUCCAGGAAAUACAUACAAGAUGAACUUCGAAAUUGGCAAAAUAAGUCAGGAAACAUUUGAGACCUUAUACUGCUGAAUACUUAGAGGGAUACCAAUCACAGGAUCACGCACAGCAUUUAAGACCCGCAAAGUUUUGCACAUCUCUUGAAUACAGUCACGUUGGAAAUUGCUGCCAAAGCCAACUGGAUAUCAAUAGCAAGAACAGAAAUCAGAAUAGAAGAAAAGGCAAGCUCUUUUAAGGCCAUAGAUGGAAUAUUGUUAUCCACUAAAAACAACAGAGAUCAGAGUCUACGGACAUUUUACAGACUAGGAGUAGGGAUGCAAAUUAUCUAUAUGAUUACAUCUAGUGAUAUCAAAGGCAAAACAGUAAAUGGGAAUUUCCAGUAUAUUAAUCUCAAGUAGCAACAUCAGUAGCAGCGUAUGGAAAGUUUUCUAGCGAAUGCCGUAACUGGCAGACUCCUAAACAAGCUUAAAUGGUAAAGUAGCAAAGAGCUUACCAGCCAAAAAAUUCAUUUUAGCACCUUAAAAAUAAUUUUUAGUAGCAAAAUUGAAAGACGAAAUGAAUGACAAAGCCUGAAAUCCUUGAUCUUUGCAAGUACACAAAAGACAAAUGAAAAGUAUAUGUAGCAAGAAAAUGAAACAAAUUCUGCACAAAGUACAUCACGUAUGUAAAAAUUGCCAUCAAAACCAAGAUCAAAUCCUCCUCAAAGUCCCAACUCCUCUUGGCACUUGGAUUGUCCAGCCAAAAAUUGAAUCCAUAAAACCACUGUGGUGCUCAAGUAUCAAAUAAGCAUGCCAAGAUUCACUACUGGUCAAAUUACUUGGACCAUAUCUUUUCUAGGCAAUUAUAUAGCUUAAUCUACUGAUCUAAAACUGCAAAAAUGUAUUUCUUGAAACACAAAUGCAACAAAUCUCUAUUCCAAAUUCCAUUCCAUUAUAUUUUGAUUUUAAUAGCAUGUAGAGAAGCAACAAUUGAAUUUCACAUCGAACAAAAGGCAUCUUAUCAUGUAAUAACCUCAAAACGAUUCCAUAUAUGGUAACUGACAACUUCUGAAGGUGUCAACUGCAUAAACAAACCAAAGUCACCUACAAAAGGCUUGGCCAUAGCUUGCAGCUCUUAGUAGUGUCCUUUGACGGGAAACAUCAAAUUCAUGACCUGCAGCAUCAACACAUGCUUCAACAGCCUCUUGCAAGUACGUACGAAUCAAUCUCAAAUUUUCAUCUGCCUGGUAGACAAAGGAGAUUCAUGAAAAAUUACACUAACUCAUAUUCACAUGCCAGCCUAAACACACUUUAGUCUUAAGCAAAUCAAAAGUCCUGCAAACAGUAGUUAAUAAAUUGACAGCACAUGUUGGUAAUUAUUUGAGAACUUGAUAUAAGAACACAUUUUAAGGGAGUAUAAUUAAUUUUUUGCAGUUCAAAUAGCAGAAAUUAAAACAAGAUGAUAUAAAUCAUCUCAGUUGCACAUCAAUAGUAGCAUACCUUAGCACUUCGCCUGUCAAAAUGAUCUAAUGCAUCAACUAGUAAUGAUGCAGGUGAUGUGCUGCCUAUCUUAAAGAUAGAUUCGGUGGAAUCAGGUACCCGUUGUAGAAACUCCAUAGUUGUAUUAGAUAAAACCCUCACCCCAUCACACUCAGGGAUAAGAAUCAAAGGUUCAUCAUAAAUGUAUGAUAUGCUAUAUUCAGAAGGUCCCACCACCCAAAGCAUAUCAUCUAGGUAAAGCAGCACACUAUCCAAUCCACACCAAGCCAUCUGCUCCGGAGGAAGGGCUGACUGCAUACAUUUAAAGGAUUACUCAUCAAGAUGUAAGGAAAAUAAAAAAGGACAAACAGAAAACGCUUGAAAACUGAAGUUCAAAUCUCAGGCCACAUGAAUGUCCCAUGAUUUUGAGAGUUUAUUAGACCUUAUAAGCAUGCAUGAUAAGAUAACUCUCAUAUAUUGUCGAUAGCAUUUAACAUGGUCUCAAGCUCUUUAUGAUAAUUCGUAACUAAGGAACCCAUUAUUGUAUUCACAUCAACUUAAACCCAGAACUUGUUGCUUUCACAAAUAGCAAAUGGAAUGCGCCGACUUGGGUUUGAACAUACAAUAUUUAGUAAGAAAAUUGAAUUUAAGUAGAUUAUAAAUACCAAUUUAUCCUCCUGAAAUCCUAAGUCACGAAGCAUUCACCAGUCCAAUUCCACAUCACAUGAUGCACAAUAAGUUAAGCCCAACACUAAAACACAAAUUGUAUAUUUACCUCACAUUGAUACUCAAAGAUGGUUUCAAACUGUAUAUUUGACAUAACAAGAUACCCAUCAUGUGUAAAACGAGCCAAAAUCCUCCCAUUAUGUGAAACUGCAAGUUUCUGCACUGGCCCCCGCAAAUCAUCGCUUUCCACCUGCCUCGCAUCAUCGUCAUCAACAGUCACAAUCCCAUCUCCCACUCCCAGCAGCACCACAACGUUCCCCGACACUGUGUACUGCGGUUCAAUCACCGCCAUGCAAUGCGGUAGCUCCUCCUCCAUCCCAAUUACGGGAUCCGCCAGCCUAUACGGUUUUAUAUCCUUAAAAUCCGACACGCAAAACAACUUCCCGGCCUCCGUCAAACACACCACACCGUUCCCCCAAAACACGCAGUCCACCACAUUCUGCUCAAAGCAUUCUUUCCCCAUAGAAUAAUUGGGCUCGAGACACUCACCAUUAAUAUUAUAACGAUAAAUCGUACCAUCUUGGACUAUGCAAAUUAGUGUUUGAUCAUCGGACCAUGAAAUUCCGAUUAGUCGGCCGCCAGGGUGCUUCCAGACGGUUUCGGAGAUGAGGACACCAGCGGAGUUGAAUAUGCGGAGUUUACGGAGCGCAGAUUCGGAGUAGAGCUGGACGAUCUUGGAGUCGUCGCGGAUGAUGGCGAUCGGGCCACCGAAUGGGGCGCAGGCCACCUUGUUGCGGCUCAAGUCCACAUGUUUCCACCGCAUUUGGUAUAUCUCCAGUUUCCGAUAGAAACGGUUGCUGAGAAGCUGCCACUCCGCCGCAACGGAGACGUUCGCCAUUGUAGCUACAGAGAGAGACGAAUUUACCUGAUCAACCAAAAGUUCUAUCUACGAUUCAGAAUUGGGAAAGUGUUAUUUCACUACAGGAAAUAAAAAAUAAAAAUCAUCAAGUAGUUUGUUAUUUGGAAAGAAAGCACGGUUUUUUCAGAAAAAUAUUUUGCAGUAAUUUUUUUUUUUUUAACCAUAGAAACGUGCACGAAUUGCUUUAAUAAGAUAACAUGUAUAUCUUAAUAAAUCUUAGAAAUUUUAAAUUUUAUUUCAUUAAUUUUUAAUUUUUAUUUAAAAAAAUUAUAAUAUAAAUUAAAUAUAAAUUAAAAUAUGAUAAUUUUUAUAUUAUUUUUAUAAGAUUAUAUGUGUUAGAUAUCAUAAAAAUAUAAUUAUUAAUGUAAAAUUAUAAUUUUACAAUAUGAUCAUUAUUUAAUCAACGUUAUCAAAAAUAGCCUAAACAAUUUUAUUUGAAGCCAUCCAAAUGGCGAAGCUGAGUUGGAAAAGCAUAGAUAGAGGAAAUGAGAAGCCGCUACAAUUUCCUCAAUAAUUCAGUUUUCUUAAACCAUCGAGGGCCCAACAACAUUCCUUUGUGGUUCAUCCAUUGCCUCCGACCACGUUUCCAAAAUUAGCUUAAUUUCUUUAAAAUAGUUUGAUUUUCUACUAAUUAUAAAAAUAUUUUAAAAUAAAUUAAUUUUUGUUAGCCUUUCAAAUAUUAAAAAUAGACGAAAAUAUUUUCGUAAAACCAAAGGAGCUGAAGUGUUAUAACUAUCUGAAAUGGAACCACUCACAGUCUAUGGCUUAAUCAACGGAGAUUUUCUUUCUGAACACAACUUUUAAAUUUAUUUACCAUUCUCUCCCAAUUUGUUUGAUAGAAUUACCAUUCUCUCCCUAAACUACUGCCUAUUGGGUAAACUAUUUCUAAUAUGCCUUCUUUUACUUUCCAGCUAGGACUGUCUCCACGUGACCUGUAAAUGGAAUCAUGUGUCAUGAUAUAUCAAGCAGAACGAGGGUAAGGUGAUAAAGUCAGAAUUUGGCAAAAAAAUAAAUAAAUAAAGCCAAAACAUCAGGUGAUAAUUUUUUUUUUAAUUGAGCAUUUUACGAAGUUGAUUAUAAAGCAAUAUAGAGAUCUUAGACGAUAUUUCAAAAAGCAGUCAAUUGAGAUUAUGGUAUUGGCGGGUGGAAGUUCCAAAAUUCAUCGUGAUGAUCUGGAAAAAGAAAACACCUUUGAUAAGAUAAAGGACCAUAUGAUUUUUUUGAAAAAUUUCACCAUCUCAUCAUUAUUUUAUUAAUCAUGAUUUUGGAGAGUAUUAAUUUUUAAAUUAAUUUAUUAUAAUAAACAUUAUAAGCUGACCCUGUGCCUGAUUUGGCUGAAAAUGAUUUGACAUCAAAACAACUACAAGUUAAUUUUGAUGAAGCUUCCUUCAAGUUGUUAUUUUUCAUGAAAACCCAUUUGUGUAAUAAUUAAAUGGUUAGGAUUGAAGUUAUUAAGGCAAAGGACAAAAAGGGAAAAAGUAAUAAUUAUAGAUUGUGGAGCCCACAAGCCUAGAUGAAAAAAGCAAAAGGUUAUGGUCCUAUCUCCCUCAUUUCAAUUUUCCAAGUUCAACCACCCUUUCAACCUGCCCAAAUUCAUCAUGCAAAUUGUUCUAACAGAUGGGCUGGGUUAGUGAUUGUUUGGUUCAAUUUUUUUUUUUUUUAAUUUUGUAAGUAUUUUCAUAAAGAUUAAGAAAAUUACUUCAUGUGAAUGAGGUAACUCUUUUAAAUUUAGGAAAAGUUGAGACAAAAUACUAAUUAACAAACUAAAUUUAUUAAUAUUUAAAAAUUUAAAAUUUUUAUAUUUAUAUACUUAAUUUAAUAAUAAAUAUAUGUCAAUAAAUUUAAAAUAUUUCACGUUUUAUUUAUCCAAUUCUGUAGCAUUUUAGAAAAAACCGCUAGAAAACCAAGCAUUUUUCCCUUGAAGUUGAUAGUUGUCAAAAUGCUAGUAGUAUAAUCUCUCCAUAGACUACAGAAGCUUCCUUUUACUCUCUCUUCUUUUUCUUCUUCUUUCUUUUUCUUUUCUUUUUUUUGUUUGCGUGUGUUGGGUAAUGGAAGCAGAGUACUAGUAGCAUGUGGUAUAGUAGUGGGUAGCAGAGGAUAAUGUUUGCAGUGCAAUCUGCCAAAAGCCCAGUUACUGGUUUCCACUUUCCACUGCUUGCUUGUGAAAUCUGGGAUUCCUUUGCCUCUCAAAUCCCACCUUUCAAAAUCUAUCAAUUUCCUGAUUUGUGAACCCCACUUGGUUGAAAUAUCACACAUCCCCACUCUUCACUUGCUCAUAUCCUCUAACCGAAAGUUAUCAACCUCCAUGCCACACCCACUGUAAUUUAUUCAUUAAAAAACAAGAAAGUAAACUUUAUCUUUUGAAAAUUUUACUCCUUUAAAAACCCUUCUUGUUGUUGGAAUAGAGAUUGUUGAAGUGUUGGUGCUUUUGCAUCUGGCAGACAGGGAAGCACUAUUGUCAUAUUCUUUGAGAGCAGGAAAUCUUGAACCACUUCAAGGAUGCAAAUCCGAUUCAGUAGUGUCAAUAUAGCAUAAGAGAAGAAGAUCUGCAGAAGGUCUCUGCAAAAAAGAUGCAAGCUCUGCAGAAACCAGUUUCUUUCAUCAUCUAUGCAAGCCUCCUCCACCUUGUCUCCUCUUCUUCAGAGCAGGUUAAAAUCACAGGCAAUGACACAAGCAGCGAGAAUGGCAUUCCCCAGGUAUUCAAGUUAGUUUUUUUUUUUUUUUUUUCUUUUUCCUGUUGUCUGUCUAUCAAAUUUUUGUUUCUUUAAGUUUAAUGAUUGUUAAAGAUGUUUAAUUUGAAGCUGAGUGGUACUUGGUAACUAUUACUUAACAGAUUAGUUCUAAACUGGUGUUUGAGAUUACACUUCAUGGAGUUCUCCUCUGGGCAUCAAUGGGGUUCUUGAUGCCUGUCGGAAUACUCAGCAUCAGAAUGUCAAACAGAGAAAAAUGCCGGAAAAGGCUCAAGAUUCUUUUCUAUCUUCAUUCUAUUUCACAGGCAGGUUUCUUUUUCUUUUUCUUUUUCCUUCCUUUUCUUCUUUCUUUAUUUAUUUCUUUCUGCUUUUUUUUUUUUAAGAAAAGAAAAGUUAUUGGCAUUCUCUAACAUUCCAUAUCAUCAGACCAGCUUCUAGCUAGUUAAUUUUUCACACUCAAAGAUUCUCAAUCCACAGAGUCGCAGAAAGAAUUCAAUAAUAGCUAUUUGUUUAUUAGAGGCUAAUGCCCCUACUUUGUCUCAUAAUGAUGAUAGCCCAAUUUGCUGUUAAUCUCGUGAUUUCUUCAAAAGUAAGCAAAGACGAGGAUCAUGACAGAUUUAUAGUUGAUGGGCAGUCCAUAUUUAGCUUUACGAGCUUAAAUAAUAUAAUUAAGCACAAUUAUGAAGUUAGGUGUUUGCACUGGCGCUAAUCACAACUGCAGUAAAGGCUAUAUAUCUAACCCACAUGUGAAAAAGCCAAGAUAAUAUUCUUGAUCAGCAGAUAUGAUUAUUUACGUAUUACUACAAUGAUUUUUAACGUAAUUAAGUUCUUGAUUAGCAGAUGCUUUCCGUACUUUUGGCUACAGCAGGAGCAGUGAUGUCUGUAAAAAACUUCAACAAUGCCUUCAAUAAUCAUCAUCAAAGAAUAGGGGUAGCACUCUAUGGCAUUGUUUGGUUGCAAGUCCUUAUUGGGUUGCUACGUCCACAAAGGUAACGAGACACUAAGGCCCACUUGGCAUGGCAGGCGGCAUGAGAUGCACGAACUCCCAAAAAUUUUAGUUUGAGUUCAAAUUUUUUAUUUUCAAUUGUGUCAAUCACAGUUGUAGCUCGUUUAAACUUAGAUGCAUAGGAUUUCAUAAUAUAAAUAUAUAGAAUUUCAUGUGCAACCGGAUAUAUAGGAUUUUAUGGAGACUCCACCAUUAUUUUACACUGUAGGAGUUCAUGCACUCACUCUGCAGCGUGAAACCAGCUUAAUAUUCAUUUUUGUGGUCUAGGCUCUGUGGCUCUGAUAUAUAGUAUGCUAUAUUUUGUUUGCAGAGGAUCAAAAGCAAGAAGUAUAUGGUUUUUUUGGCACUGGAUGCUUGGAACUGCUGUAUCUCUCCUUGGAAUUAUCAAUAUCUACACAGGAUUACAAGCUUACCAUCAAAAGACAUACAAAAGCACAAGACCUUGGACUGCACUUUUCAUCAUUGAGGUAUCUUUGAUUGCCUUGUUUUACCUGUUGCAAGACAAGUGGGUUUAUAUGCAAAAACAGGGAGUGAUUUUGGGCGGUGAACCUGUAAGGCUCAUUCAUCUAGUGGCCACUACACAAGAUAAGCAGAAGGAAUCCACCAAUGAGUCUUGUUGAGAAACUCAGAAAGCAAGUGAUUUUGCUUAUACUAACAGAGACCUUAAUUUACACACUUAUUUUUGUUUUACAUGGACAUUACUAUAAAGUGUUGGGUUUGAAUCAAAUUAAACGGUUGGAUAUUGAUUGUGUUCAUAAUAUCUAAUAUAAGGAUUGCUUACAUUUUUAUGGACUCUUUUUUUAAAAAGAAAAAAAAAUAAAUGUUCGUUUCUUCUUUAAAAAGAAAAUGUCUGAGUGCCAAGAAAUUGAUAUAAAUAGGCCGUAGUGAGUUGGCCCUUGUAAUUGCGUGGUGCUUCCGACUUGGUGGUCCUCAGAGAUUUUCAAUAAGGGGAAAAAAUCACUUUUCUGCAAAGGAAAACCACUAGCUACAAAAUAAGAAAAAAAAAAAGGAUAGUACCAGAUUCAGAUAUGACUCUUAAUAGUGGAUAGCUUUUUGUUAUUCCUUGUCAAGAUUUUUAUAAAAAGUUGAGAAAGGAUAAAUCCGAUUUUUAUAAGAAUGUGUUGUGGGAAUUAUGAAUUCAGCCUUUUAUGAUUGGGGAUACGUUGGUUAUGCGCGUGGUUAGUGUAAAGAAAGGAAUUUUGUUGAACCUUGCAUGGAGAAAGGAUUCAUGAAUGUUUUUUUUUCCCCAUUCCACUGCAUGGGUAUUGUUUCUCUCAAUCUCAAAGCUGCUUAAGGUGAAGCUAAACUAAACCGAACAUCAAUCAGAAGUACCUAUAGACUUGGAAGGAAAGAAGUAUUAACCUUGAACUGUAAUAUGUAACAUAUUUGCAUCAAUCAGUGUCAUAAAAACAAGCUCAUGUUUUCAGUGAAACAUGCCAUACUACUACAAUUUAACCUUGCACUCCUGCUGGGUAUCCCUAACUAGCCAGACACAAAUUGCAUCGUCUCUUUAUGCUCCUAGCUUUCUUGAUAUUUGUCGGUAAUUAUCAGAGGAGCAAAGUACAACGGCACGAGAAUAGUGUGUUUAAGCUCAAGUGAAAGUCGACAGAAUCACCAUAUUCCAGGUUAUGGCAGAAAAACCAGUUUGCAGUCUUGGCAAGCAGAGGAAAUCAACAGUCGAGGCAGGGCUGGAGUACUUGUUAUAUAUAACCAGAAAAACACCAUUUUCGUCAUAUGUCCACUAGCAGAAAAGGAGCUUCCUUGUUCAGUUGCUUCACAUUUAAGAACCAGCUGGAUGCAGGAAGCUAAGACCACCCUGCCGUCUCACAUGUUCAGGUAUGAGCCUGUUGAUCAAUUCAGGUGAAGCUUCUGACAGCUGAAACAAGAAUGAAAGAAAGUGGAAAGAAUUAUGGGUACUUGAAGGAAUAAGAACUAUUGUAGCAAAAAUUAUUUUAAAAAAGGAUUCUUCCAAGCAUGGCAACAACAAGAAGACAACAACCAUUUUUAAACCCAAACUAUCCAAUUAGCGGACAGAUAGCUUGGGAGCCAGGCUAGUGAGUGUGGGGGCAUAAAUACUCGGAUGGUUAAAAAAGAAAUAAAGCCAGGCAGUUGAGCAGUUCAACCAUUGCCAGGUAAAUUUCAUAGAAAUGUGCAGGUUUUCUCCAUUGUUCACUUAAAGAAAUGUGAUCUGCAUAAAGUCAUCAUCAUGGCCAGAAGGUUACUUGCUACUCUGAUCUGCAUUUAUCUUGGGUCAAACUAAAGAUGCAUUAUUGUAGAAUUGCUUCCAUCUAUUUAUAAAGCAUCAUAAGGAUAUAUCACACAUGCCAUGGUCGAAGAAUGCAUGAUGGAUGUUUUGCAUAUGCCAGGAUAUUUCUACUGAUGUGCAUGGUACAACGAAAAAAUAAAAUUGGAAACAUACUUCCUGUUUAAAGUUGAAAAGAGGUGGCAGUGGCCGACCAUUUGGAAGACGGGCAUUAGGCUCACGUAGCUCAUCAAAGAAAGGAUGUGAACAAGCUUCAAGCUGAGGUAUCAGAAAGUGAGGUCAGCCAAGUGAUAGACUUGCAUCCAUAUGCUUAAAUGAAACUGGGGAAGUAGACUGAUGGAGGAAUUCCAAUUGCAACAGCACAUGAUAAGUUGCAUCUCUGAUGAGAACAUCAAAUGUGAUGUUGACCCGGCACUUGUCAAGUCUUUAUCAACAAGUGAUAUGCACUGAUUUUUUGUGAAAACAAACAACUCUAUCUUGGGACCAAACUAAAACUCCAUGAAAAAAGAAUUAAGUUUGACUUACUGCAGUGCAACGAAGACUAGGUGAAUAUUGAAGAAGCCGUGAAGCAAGGUCAAUUGCUUCAGGAGGCAUUCGUUUGUGGAAAAUCUGAACAUAAAAUCACAACAAGUUAAACAACAGUAUAAAUUUUGACAUGAUAUUUCACAAUCUACAAUAAUAGAGGUUUAUACACGAUAGGGAAAACCCUUACAAAUUACAAUCACUAUACAGCUUGGACCAUUAUAAUAUAAAUACAGUAACAUAUUCACCAAAGAAGGUUUGACCCAAGUUUCUAGCUAUAGGCUAUGCAUCCCAAAAGGGAUGCAAGGAGUAUGGCACAUUUAAAUGUAAUGUUACAAACCAAACUAUCACCAUAUCCGCUGAGAGAAGCCCUGAUAAGUCACUUACUGCCGUAUUUAAAGUUGCAUAAAAGGAAUUACUAGUAUGCCUGCUAAUAGCAUUCACUUAUAAUUUAUGAGAAUGUUUUUUUCUCUACCUUUACAGGUUCAAGUCAACCUUUAAUAAAAUAUUGAACCAUAUCAGUUGAGAAAAAACCCCUACUAAGCCACUUAGUAGCAUUGUUUCUCCUACAUUCAUAAAACAGACAAUUUUUUGCUGAUACAUGUUGAGCACUUGCAAUUUUACCAAUUGCACUCAAUUUAAAGUCAUGUUGAGGACUAAAUACGAGUAUGUCCUGCUACUAGCAAGCACUUGUAUGUUGUAUCCAAUUUUAAGCACAAUAUUUUUUGUGCUUUUCUAUUCCAGGAAUCAAAGUCUAAGCACUAUUGCCCAAGAUCCAUGUUCAAUAAGGUACAGUUAAGUAUAAACCUUGUGCCAAGGGUGUGCUUUAAUCUGUGGGAAUCUAAAAUCCGUGUAAUUUGGAUUCAUGCAUCGAAUUUCUUCUCGCGUUGGAGUACCCAGAACCUAUGAUGGAUCAGUUAAGACAUGAUUAUGGAACUUGAAGAAUUCCAUGAAUAUCAGUAACAUCAACUGAGGUAAUAAAACUUCACCUUGAUGAUCUCAACAAGUUGAUCUACUGCAUUUUCCCCAGGAAACAAUGGCUAUGAAAAGAUUUAGAAACAUUAAGUAAACAAAAUGGUGGAAGGAAUAGGUUACCAGAAAAGAAUGUUAUUGAUAACUGCAGCUUAUAAAAUGCAAUUGAAGUCAACAAGACAACAACAACCUGACCCAGAAGAAGCUCAGCCAAUACACAACCAGCUGACCAAAUAUCAAUUGAAGUUGUAUAUUCUGUUGCACCAAAUAUGAGCUCUGGAGCCCGAUAAUAGCGAGAGCAUAUAUAUGAUAUGUUUGCUUCACCCUGGACCUAAUGGUAAAAUAAAUAAACAACUUAUACUGCAAAUAAUAACAUGCCAACCCCAUAAGGUUAGGCCUAUUUUAACUUGCCAUGACGCCAUCCUGUGGUUUCCUGCAUUACUUUGCCUUAUGGUUUCAGCGAAAGCAAAGAUAAACUGGAGAAUUAAGAUCUUAAAAAACAAGUUUCGAUUUCCCUAAGAAAAAUUAUAUAUCCCUUUUGAAGGUACAAAUGAACUGUAAAUUUUUGCUUAAUUUAAAUAAUUUAACACAAAAGAGAGAGAGAGAGAGAGAGAGAAAUGACUGCAAAAAUCCAUUAAUUUUGAUUGAGAAAAGAUGAAGCAAAUCUCAAGGGAAAGGUGUUGUAUCAAGAAUGACAGGAAGGCAAAGUGCCUUAUGGACUUCCAAUAAAGAGGGUUUGGAUCAUUCUAUUAAAUAAGUUUGCAUGUCAGUAUUAAUGAACAUAGAUGAUCACUCAAGUAACAUUUAUAUAAGAUUUGUCUGAUUAGAUUAUACAUAUACAUAAUACACUUAGUUGCAUGCAUACAUGACUAUAACCAUGUGUAAAACCUAACAAAAAUUAGAUAUAACUAUUAAUGGUGAUCCAGUGUAAAUAAGUAGUAUGACACAUAACAUAAAGAGUUAUACCCAGAACUACUGCUAAUCCUAGAAAGCAAAAAAAUUAAUAAAUAAAUAAAAUUAAAGUAUAACUGACUAACAAUUCAUUUUAAUUCUGCAGUAUGACAAAAUGCUAGAAAACCACGGCAACAUUAUGCCAUGACUUCCCUCCAAAGCAUGUAUGUCCACCCAAGAUGCAUUUGGAGCGUUGGUCUUCAUUUGUAAAACAUGGACAUUCAUCAGUAUUUUCAACUUAAUUUACAGCUCCAAGUCACAUACAGUAUGGCACUUUGAAAGAUCAAUUGUUUCCAUAGUGACACGCUUAGAUAGCAAAAAUAAACUGCAAGUAGGGGAUGAACAUACCAAGACUUUAGCACUUCCAAAGUCACAAAGCUUAACCUGGUGAGUGAGGGGAUCAACCUGCAAAACAUGCAUAUAAGACACAUGUAGACAACCUUCAAGUUAGAAUAACGUCUAAAAAUUACAUACCAGAAGAUUUUGAGGCUUUACAUCUCUGUGACAAACUCCAGGAACAGUAUGGAUAUAUGCCAAUCCCCUGAAUAUCUGAGAUGCAAUUUCCAAGAUAUAAUCACGCUUCAAGUAAAAAUAAAGAAAUAAAGUCAAAUGAAACUAUUGUUUAUACUUGGUAUGUAUAAAGUUUCACAUAGAUGAGCGGCAUCCGUUGGUUUAUACUGGUAUAGUGCUUCAAAACCCUGUACAUUGUUUCAGGAACAUAUUCCAUAACCAAAUUCAGGAAAAGCUCAUCUUUACUUGUCGUGGAGAAGAAACAAUGCCUCAGGGGAACCACAUUUGGGUGAUCCAUCAACCGCAUCAGCUGCAGCUCACGAUUUUUGUAUCGUUUGUCCUGCAAGACUUUCUUUAUAGCCACCGGCUCUCCAGUUUCCAAGCAUUUUGCCUACAAAAGGAUUAUCUCAGAGAUGGAUAAAAGAGAAACAAAAAUAUUUCAGAUUCUUCUCUAUCAUGGAAAUGACUUGUUCCCGGAAAAAAAAUUUGUGGAUAACAGUUCAUGAGGAAGUGAACAAUUUUUCAUCAUUUGGUUGUAACACUGAAAAUCAACUGCAAGUUAAUUUUUAUGUUCGGAAUAUAUUGGGGGGGAAAUCUUUUCCUCUAGCGUUGAAGACUUUGGAAUCUCUUUUUUCUUUUUUAAAAAAUCAUGUUGUUCCAUUUACAGUUGUCUAGAAAAGAAAAUUACACAGCUUUGGUGGCCAACAACAACUAUGAAGGCUGGAGCUGGCCAUGGUCGGUGGACUAGUGUCAUUUCCAUGCAGGUUCUUUCCAUUUUCACAAGUUUCACGAGUAAACUAUUGUUUAGUGCUUUUUCUUUGCCAAUAUACAUUCAUCUUUCUAGUUUGAAAAAAUAGAUUAAAAAGUCCCUCAUUUUUGCUUUCUUCAAACACUUUAGUCCUUCUAUUUACUUUUUGAAGUACAUUCUAGCAUAUUCCGCUAGUCAAACAAGACAAUGACAAAUAAACAUUUUUUAAAAUAGAUGGAUGUAAGUGUUUGUAAGGUAAAAUAUAAGGACUAAAUAGUAAUUACCAGAGUUUCAUUGUUAAAUUGGUGGUUUCCUUGUGUGUGCCAGACACUAGAAAAUGUUUUUGGUAAAAUAUUUCCAACUAAACAAAUAGAGAUUAGUUGUCAGAGCUAAUAUCCAAACCUGAAAAACUAUUCCAAAUGAUCCAGUACCUACAACUCGCUCAGCCAUGUAACUGAUGGUCUGCAAGCAACAGUGAAAGAGGAUAAACAUAAGAAACAACAUUAUGGAGAAUCGAAGAUGAAAAUUGAUAAUUGAGGUGCAUCAAUGCUUAGAUCGUAGCACUUCUACAAGCCAAAAUGCAAGUGGUAGAAUAGCAAAACUACCAUUUAGAGAAAAGCAUUGGUUGCUUUGUAAGUCACUAAGAACAUAGUGCUUAAUCCAAUGCAAUAAAUCAGCAAGAAAAGCUAACAGUUUCAGUCAAAUCAAAAGUCACAAAAACAGGAGGAAGUAACAAGCCUCACCUGUUUGGGCUCCCCAUUCUUGCCUCCAAUGGUAGUGGAUAUGAUAUGACCUGUAAUUGCACCAUUCCCCUCAACUUCAGCAGAUGUCAUUUCCUGCAGUUGAUAGCAAUAUAUCAAAUUACUAAAAGCACAAAGUGGUUCAAUCUGAUGAUUGGGACACUUUGGUCCAACAUGAGAAACAUGAUCCAAGAGUUUUGCACACAUCAAGUGCAACAACCUGCAACGGACAAUAAUCAGGAACCUAUACAAGAUUCCACCUCACUUGAUUGCCUAGAUAAUGUGCAUAAUGCUUUUCUAAUGCAUAUGUCUUCAUUAGCUUAUUCUGCAGUCUGAACCAGCACAUGCAAUGAAAAACCUAUAAAAUGCAUGUCUCUAUUCUCUACUCACAUGGCUUGCCAAUUUCAGAGACCACUGAAGAAAAAACUAUAUUCUUUGGGUAAAACAAAUAUUUGGCAGGUAGGAUUAUACAGGAAACAAUAUUUAGAGCAGCUGAUCAAUAAAAGCAAUAGUGGAUAUUUCUGAUGACAGUUAAUAUUUGAAAAAAAAGAAACUACCAGAAGAAUAAAGAAGUGUCUGGCAAGAGAUUGAAGAAAGGAAGAUAACAAAGGUUACUUGUCAUGGAGAAAGCAAAUUAGGGAAAAAAAAAAAGCAGAAGUUACAAGAAAGCACAAAAUUCCAUAAAAAGCUUAGCAUAUCAAGCAAGAGACUUAUAAAUUGUUGGACAUAGAAUCCUAGGACAUUCACUGCCAGAAGCAAACUACAUUGGUUCAAAGACAAUCCACUUGAAGUACAAGAAAAGUAUAAAGAAAGUUCACACCCUCUUAUCCUGGAGAGAGAGAGAGAGAGAGAGAGAGAGAGAGGGNNNNNNNNNNGAGACUUAGCAAGGAACCAAAGAUCUAAGAAGUGCCUGCAUUAAGCAUCACCACUCAAACAAAAUAACAAAGAUUAAACAUACAAGGAAGAGAGAGAACAAAAACUGAGCUAUAAAUAAUGUAAGAGGUUGAUUAAAAGAACACCUAAACUAGAACUGUUUGGCUAGUAAAGAACACAAAUAUAUAAUUCUUUGGAUACACUGAAAAACCCAGAAAAAUAAAUCAUCAGCUGAAUCUCAAGUGAACUAAAAUUUUAAACUUUACACUCUGGGGUUAUCCCAAUAUUUAAUUCCCUUUAUUUUGUAUUUUCUAUUUAAUUAUUCAAGACUAAACUCUUUUCUCUGUACGCUUCUAAGAAGAAAACAACUUCAAAAUCUUUUUAGUCUUAGCCAAAAAGAAAGAAAGAAAACAACCAAUCUUAAGAUGAGGAUCUGUACCAACCCAAAACAAGCAAAAGGAUGUAAAAAAAAAAAACAAACAAACUAGAAUUAGACUAGAAAAUGAAGAAAGAAAAGCUAGAUCAAACAAGAUCCAUUCACUAAUCAAGUAUAUAGAAAGAGAAACUCGUACUGAAUGUAACCCAAAUUCAGAAAAAGAGUAAAAUGAGAAAAGGUGGGUAGAUGAAAAUAGCUAUAAAUAACCUUAUCGGAAUCCAUAUAUCAGCGGAGAGGGUGGAGCUUCAGUGGGUCAUCGUACGAUGGAGCUAAGUGUGAUUGCUGGGCUUGAUGAUGAUGUUGAAGAUGAUUGAUUAGCUCCCAAAAGCCAAAGGCAUGGAGAGAGGGCACUGCUCUCUGCAAAUUCCCUUUGCCUUUCCUCUCCUUUCGCUCACUCUCACUUCACACGCACACAAACACACAUCAUUUUUUGCAUUUUCUUUUCAUUUUUUUCUUACUUGCUGUAACUCAAUUUAGCAUUGCUUAAUUAGCUUUUUUACUAUUUGUCUUAUUUAAAAAUAAGUUUUUUCUUAAAUGAAAACUGAAAAUUAAAAAAAAAAUUAAAAUCUCUCAUUCAAUAAAUUUUAUUAUUAAAUUAUUCAUAAUAUAUUUUAUUAUUAAAUUAAAUCGGUGAGUAUGAAAAAGUAAAUUCUUAAAUUUAUUUUUUUAAAAAUUAAAGACAUAAAUAUUGAUAAUAUUAAUGUAGUAUUUUAACUAAAAAUUAAAAAGACGAAUUCCACAUUAAAAUCAUUAUAGAUAAUCAUUUUACAUAGGCCAAUGGCCGAAGAAAGGUUAAAUGUUCAAGUCAAUUUAUAUUUUAAUUUAAAGUUUAAAUUUUAUAGGAAUUAGCUUAAAACUUACAUUUAAGUAAUUUUUAAAAUUAAAAUUAAAAUAGCAAUCUAAUCAUUAAAUAUAUUUUUUAUAUUUUAAGAAUUUUAUUCUAUAAUAAUAUUUAUAAAUAUUUUAUAAUAAAUAUAUUAUUUAAUCUAAAUAACAGCGUAUAUAAAAUAAUUCAUAAUAAUAUAUAUGUUAUAAAAUUUUUAUAGUUAUUAUUCUAAAAUAAAAUUCAUCAUUAAAAUUAUAUAUUAUAUAUUUAAUAAUUAAAUUAUUAUUAUUUUUAAAAUUAAAUAUAUCAAUUAAUUAUUUUCUUAACUAUCACGCUUUUAUAGCAAAGCAUUUGCACUCAAGACAAAAUCAUCUUUAAGUAACUCUCUUUUAUUUAUAUUAAUUAAUACAAUAUAAAUCAAAAUUUAGGCUCCAUUGACGAAAAAUAAUUUAUAUUUUUUAAUUAAAUAAUUUAUUUUUUAUUAUUUAAUUUUAAUUUAAAAAUAAAAUAUAUUAACAAAAUUAUUUUUUUAUUAAUUUUUUUUAAUGUUUCAAAACACAACAAAAUUGAAGAAUAUUUUUUAUAAAAUAAAUUAGAGAAAAAAAAUAGGAGUGCUAUGAAAAAUUAAACUCCUCUUACAAGCGGGCAAUGAAGUUCUUAUCAAAGCAGUUGUGGAGGUAAUUCCUUUUUUUAUCAUGACUUAUUUCAGAUUUCCUACAACUUUCAUUCAGGAAAUCCAUUAAGCAGUAGCCUGGUUUUGGUGAGGAAGUUGUUUUGAUAAAGCAAGAGGGAGGCAUGGGUUUUAAAGACUUGCACUUAUUCAGGAUGCUAUAUUUGCAAAACAAGCCUGGAGAGUUAUAAGUAUCCCCAUUCUUUGUGGGCUCCUAUCAUGAAAGGUAUUUAUUUUUUCUUUUCUGAUUUUAUGGAUGCUCCUGUGGAUAGACAAGCAUUUUGGGGAUGAAGAAGUCUGUUAGUUGGUAGAGAGGCAAUCCAUUGGGGGUAUCGCUGGAAUAUAUCAGGCCCCUGUUUUCUUAAUGUGUAGAAUGAUGCUUGGGUCCCUACUUUACCAGAUUUUCGCAUUCAAAGCCAGCAAUAUGAAGGGAGUCCAAUAAUCUAUGUAGCUAAUCUAAUUAACCCUGCAACUAAUCAAUGGGACCUGAUUUUGUUGGCAUAUUCCUUUUUCCAUGAUGAAGGUAAAGUAAUUCUUAGUGUUCUAUUAGCUAUGAAUGUUAGAGAUCCAGAAGUGGUGUGGUUCCAUUCUAGGCAUGGGUCUUGCUAUUCAGUCUGCUAUUAAAAGAAACUUUCUGCCUUGUGUGAUUGAAUCUGAUUCAAGUGGUUGUUCAACUUUAUUCUUCUCAGGAUCCUCCUCCUUAUGAAUAUUGAAAGCUCUAAUGCAUGAUCUUAGACUAUUGUUGUUUAACAAUUCUUUAAUCUUGGUUUCUUUUGUUCCCAUGUCGGCAAAUCUUUGUGCUGACUGGAUAGCUAAGUUUGUAUGCAGUGGAAGGUUAUUCUCGAGCUGGCUUUCCAACUAUCCUUCUAAAUUAUAUGUUCUGAUAGAAAAUGAUUGUACCUCUUUAUUUUUAUGAAUGAAUGAUCUUUUAUUGAUAAAAAAUCUAGUGUUUGAGUCCUACAUAUAGAGGACUAUACAAUGUGGGAGUUUAUAUUGAAAAAAAAAAACCAUAAUAAUCAAUUUACCCCUUUGUUUAUCUCAUAUUAGCUGAUGAUUUAGGAUAAUUUUCUUAUUAAGAUUUUUUUUUUCAAUAAUUUUUAAAAAUAUUAAUUAAAAUACAUUAAAUUUGAGUAUCAGUGAUUCAAAUCACGUCAAAACUAAAUAUAAUUAUAUCAUCUUAUAUACUUCUAACAAUAUUUAAACUCUAUUCAAUACGUUCACAAUCUCUAUAAUUAGGUAUGUUAUUUUCUAAAUAGUCAAUUUGAUUACUUAUUCAAUACUCAUACUGAAGUAUUAGAAAAGUUGUCAAGCCAAUACAUCUAUAUUGAAGAAUCAGAGUUAGGCUUUUUAUUUUUUUGAAAAUAUAACAUUAUAAAAAAUUAUGAAAAAUUUAAUAAAAUUGGUUCAAUAUAACUAGAGAUAAAUUAUUAGAUAUUGUUGAUAUGGUUGAAAAUAGGGCUGGUUAGUCAAUUUGUGUAAGAUAGUUGGUGCGUAUGCAUCGCCACUCCGAUAUCCAAAUUAAUAAACUAAUAAAAUCAGUGAAUGUAAUGAAUUAUUUUGAAUUUAGAAUGAUUGUAUAAAAAUACGUACCUUAAUCUAUGUGCACACCAACUUUCAUAUUACAAAAUAGAGUUUGUUAUCAAAUUCUUUGAAAAUACAGCUUGCAUCGAUUAAUUAAUGGAUAGGAGAUUCCGCAAUUAUAGAUAAAAUGAAAAUCUAUCAGAUUAUAUUCGUUAAUGGUAAUUUUUUAUAAAAUCUCGUACUGUUUUGGAGGAAUGAAUUUUGAUAAAAAAACAAGCGCUACGAUAUCUGAGUUUUUCUUCAAUAGAUGGGACCAUGUGUAAUAUUAUAACAUGUGACUCUAUUUUAUAAUAACAGUUCAUUAACUAUUUUAAUCUAUUAUUAUUUGACAUCAUUUAUAAUAUUAAUUAUAAAUUUUAGGAGAAAAGUCAUAAUUAAUUUUAGAUAUUUAAUCGAUCAUAUUUUAUUAAAAUAGAUUAAACAAUAUAUUAUUAGAUAAAAAAAUGAACUUAAAAUUGAUUCAAAAUAUUAUACAAGUAUUAGAAUUAAAUGAUUCAUUUAUAUAGAUAAGUGAUUAAAUGUAAUUAUAUUUUAUAUUAAUAUUAACAAUAAGUUGUCCCUUUAAUUUAAAGAUUUUUUAAAAAUUAUAAAUAAUUAUAUAAAAUAUUUAAUUUAGGUUCAUUUUAAUAUAUGCUUAAAAAAUUAUGAUCUAACACCUUUUCAGAGCAACAACAAUAAUAUGUUUAUAAUAUUAUUUAAUUAUUAUAUUUAAAUACCUUGUUUUAUGUGUAUAUUUAAUUUAUUUUUUUUUAUAAGAAUCUACCCUAGUACAUAUUUUGUCUUACUGACAUUUUCAUAAACCCUUCAUUUUGAAAACAAAAAUUUACUAACAAUUUCUUUUUUUGAAAUUACUAGAUCCAGUUUUUUUAAAUUGAAAUAUUUUUAUUUAAAUACAAAUGAAAAUAUGUAUAAUUUUAUAAAAAAUUAUUUAAAUACAAAUGAAGGAAAAAUUUUCAUUGAGAUUUAUAUUUAUAAGAGAGAAAGAGAAAGGAAGAGAUGAUUUAGAUUUUUUUUUUACUAUUAUAUUUAUUUAUUUUUAGAGUCAAUAUAUUUAAUAAAUUAUUUUCAUAUUAAACCAUAUGCACGGACUUAAUUUUUAGAAAUUCAGUUAUUUCUUAGUUUAUAUUCAAAAGCGGAGCAACAAAGGUUUUGGGUCGGACUUUUUCAAUGGGUUGACCCGAACCGAACCGAGAAGAUUCAUGAUUCAUCAUAGGUCCGUCCAGAUACUAGCGAUUUACAUAUGGCUGUGGAUUUGCCAUGUCAGCAUUAAUGCCUUUCACGCCAAAAUUUCUCCUUCCUCAAAAAUUUAAAAUAUCCCACCAAUUUUAAUAAAAUUAAACAAAAAUAAAACUCCAAGCUCUCAGGGUUGAGCAAUCCAUAAACAAAAGCAAUUGCAUUUGCAUGCAUCGAUUUAGCAGACACUAAUAAAAAAAAUUAAAAUAAAUUAAAUGCAAAAUGGCUCAAUUGCUGUCUCCUGUGUGCACAGAUGUUCUUAAGAUUCAAAACCCAUUGAUGAAAACAGCUUCAAGAUCGCUUCCUAAGACCAACAACACUACUCCUUGGAGUUGGAACUGGAAGCGAAGAUCAUCAUCUGGCUUUGGCAGACUGAGAGUUGCAACUGAUGAUUCGCCGCCGGUGGCUGAUGACUACUACGCUGUUCUGGGUCUGGUAAUUAUGUAAAAAUUCAUAUUGGUUCUCAACUCUGAAUUGCAGGAUCUUUCUGCCUGGUGGUGAUAUAGCUUUUAAUUUGCUUAUUUGAAUAGCUUCCAGAUGCCACACCACAACAGAUUAAGAAAGCCUAUUAUAAUUGCAUGAGAGAAUGUCAUCCAGACUUGAGUGGGAACGACCCAGAAACUACAAAUUUCUGCAAGUUCAUUAAUGAAGUCUAUGCGGUGGGUUUCUCUUUCUUUUUCUUUUUUCUGGGUAUAUUUUGGUCAUUUUCGUGUCUAUAAACAAUUGAUAUAUUGCAGGUGCUCAGUGACCCUGUGCAGCGCAUGAUUUAUGAUGAAAUUCAUGGCUAUGCAUUGACGGCAAUCAAUCCUUUCUUGGAUGAUUCUAGCCCUAAGGAUCACGCAUUUGUCGAUGAAUUUAGUUGCAUAGGUAUGAAUGAACUUGCACUUCUAGUUGAAUAUGCUUUUUUUUUUUUCUGUUUAGAGAAGAGGAAGUGGACUGGAAUUUGGUUCUUUCCCAAGUUAAUAUAUGAACCUACCAAUGGAUUGCAAAUGCUGUAUUUGCCUCCUAUGAAAGGCUUCUUCACACUUUAUUAACGUUUAUAUUUCGAAGGCAUUGAUAAUAUGAUGUUGAUGUCUGCCUAAUUUCACGGAAUCCAUCUUGUAGAAGCAUAUGAUGCUAUAAUUCUAGCCUCAAGGGAGGCAACUUUAAAUCAGUUGAUUGUUGAUAAAAAGAUUUCAUUCUAUUGCUACCAUUGGAUUUCAUUUAUUUGGAUAACUUACAGCUGGAAGAUGCCUUCAAUAAAGUUGAAAAACAAUAUUCUAAUAUUUUGCAGGCUGCAAAAAUUGUGUCAAUGUGGCCCCUGAUGUAUUUGGAAUUGAGGAAGACUUUGGAAGAGCAAGAGUGUACGGUCAAUGUGGAAACCCUGAAUUAGUGCAACAAGCAAUUGAGAGUUGGUAAUUUUCUUCCAUUCUUCUUCAUCGGUUCCGCAUCAAUGGAUGUUGCUAAACAUGUUAACAUAAUUUAGUUUGUGCGGAAGAUGUGGCAAUACAAACUCUUUGUACAUAUUUCGAUUACAUUGUUACUGGUUCAUUUAAUUCAAUCACUGAAGCAAGAUAGAUAAAUAGUUUGAUGACCCAAUUAACAAUAUCUGAAUUUAGUUUGAUGAAUAGUGUUUCGCUUUUUGCUAUUUUGGUUCGCUUCAUACAGGGUUCAAAUUUUGAACAAAAACUAUUUGUCAUGCAAAACCUUAGGGGCUUUUGUAAUUGCCAUUUUAUUUUUCAAAUUUAAUUGCCUUGUGGAGGAUCCCACUAGUCAAAGUCUGUUCCCUAUAAGAUAGGAAGAUUAAGGGCAAUGAGGGAAUAGAGAUAAUCCCAUGUAAGGUAACCAUUUCCUAUAGUGAAUUGUCCUUUUCCAAAUAUUGAAAAUGGAAAUGAGCAUUCCCAUCUUUAUUUGGGUCCACUUUACUGCCGAAUCAAUUGACCAUAUAUUUGUUUGAAGCAACUAGCAAAUUUAUCACACCAAUUUUCAGUUUUCAUGCUUGCCAGUAUAGCAUUUAAAAUCUAUUAAAGUAGCCUGCAGC